ACGUGCAUUGGACUAAGCUGGAAUCUGCGAGCAUUAUAUAAACAGGAGAAGACAAGGCAAUAUGGGCUCUUGGGUAAAUCAACAAUAAUGCGUAUAAGAGCCACUUCAACAAUUUCAUUAUGGUCUUCUCCUAUCGACCCCCAAAAGAAAAGAAAAGAAAUAAAACUAUUUACACGGGAAAGCUCCCAACAAGCAAAAGAAGAAUGGGAAAUCUUUUUGGGUUUUUCUUUCAAUUAUUACUGCUACAGCGAGAAAAGUAAACUAGCUAAAGCUACAACUAAUGUUUUUUUUGUUUUCUUAAGGUUUUUCAAACACACAAGAAGAAAGCAAAAAAGGAAAAUAAAAUAGCAUGGAUAUUACAGUGGAAGAGUAUGAGCACCGACGUCUAGCAAUGAGUGUGUGUGAACAUAAAUGUAAUGUCGGUAGGAAAUACGUACUCCCCCAAGCUUAGGCUUUUGGCCUAAGUUGGUUUAUUGCCACGGAUGGCCUGGCAGAUAUCCAUAGUUGUAGCUGGGGUCAUACUGCGAUGCAGCAGUUAUUGCCUCCUGGGCUGCAGCGUGGCGGCGAGCUGCCUCCGCCCUCCUCUUGUACUCAUCUGCCUCCUCUCUGGUAAUAAAAUGUCUUCCCUUUGCCUGAUAAUCAAAGAAGGCAGGAGCAGGGAGAGUAAUACGGAUAGCACGACGUGUGUCAAAGAUUAAGCGAUACCGGAGAGGUGAUUCAUUCCUCUCAACAAACUGGUGGUGAACCAUAGCAUUAAAGUCUAAAUAAGUAGGAGGCAAUUCAAUAUCAUCAUUACGUAUGGUUAUACCAAGAAAAUGAGCUAAGCGGGUUGCAUAAAUUCCGCCAAAGAAAUCUCCAUUAAAUCUAUUAUGAUGCAACCUAUGUGCAACAAUGGCUCCCAAAUUAUAAGAUUUGUCUCCUAGCACAGCACUCCUAAGAAUACUGAGGUCGGGGACACACAUAUGACAUGCUUCAUCUUUACCAUUUAUGCACCUACCUAUGAAGAGAGCAAAAUAAUGUAUAGCAGGAAAAUGAAUGCUCCAUAUGGUAGCUUGUGCUAUAUCUCUAGAUUCCCCCACAGUUAUACUAGCAAGAAAAUUUCUAAAUUCAGAUUUGCGAGGUUCACUAGCACUACCCCAUUGUCGAAGUUUGCAAGCAGUGGUAAAAUCCUCUAAGUCCAUCGUAUAAGAUUUUUCAUAAAGAUCAAACAGGACAGUUGGAGAAUUGCGUGAAGAUGAAAAAUCAAACCUCCUCACAAAGGAACUAGUGAGAUACUGGUACUGGCGGCACUUUUCCUCCUCGAAGCUCACAAGAUCAGCGUUACGCAAAUAUGCGUUAAAUUCUUCCUUGAUUCCCGCUCGAUCCAUAAAGUUUUCUGAAGGCCAUUCACAAGGCCGCACUAGAGCGUCCCUUGGCGGCUCAUCGGCAGCAUCACGCAUUGCAAGCCUGGGUCCUUGCUUCCUUGAAGAACCACCUUGGUACAUUUUCCUAAGCAUAUUUCUUCCUGUGAAAAAUUUCUGAAAUUUUUAGUAACUUCAAAUAAAAGUGAACCAAGCUCAACAAAAUUGAUAGCAACUACUGCUACAAGUGCCUAGAGCCUAUAUCAUGCAUUAGAACUACUUGGAACCAUAUAAAUUUGACAUGCAAGCUCAAGAACAUGGUCACCUAGGCAGCACAAAUUUGCAAUGAAUAAAGCACUAGAACAAAAACUAAUUGGACCAAUGGAGGAAUCACAUACCAAGGAACAAUCCCCCAAGCAGUUUUGUGAGAGGUGCUUUGAGCAAGGAGAUCGAAAAUCGCAGCAAAAUGAGCUAGAACUCGUGCUUGAGCUGGAUGGUGAUUUUUUUUGGGAGGAAGAAGAAGUGUGUGGGUGCAGGAAUAAGUGGAGGGGAGCCACCGUGGGCCCACGAGGCAGGGGGGAGCGCCCUGUAGGGGUGGGCGCGCUCUGGACCCUCGUGGCCAGGUGCUUGCUCCCCCUGCUGUGUUCUUAGUGCCAGAUAUUCUCAAAUAUUCCAGAAAAAUCAUAUUAAAUUGGCAGGGCAUUUGGAGAACUUUUAUUUUCGGGGUAUUUUUAUAUUGCACGGAUAAUUCAGAAAACAGUCAGGAAAAUACUAUUUUUACUUUAUUUCAACUAAAUAACAGAAAGUAGAGAGAGGGUACAGAAGGCUGUGCCUUCUAGUUUCAUCCAUCUCAUGCUCAUCAAAAGGAAUCCACUAACAAGGUUGAUCAAGUCUUGUUAACAAACUCAUUCCGAAUAACAUGGAACCGGAGAAAUUUCGAAUAACACUAUGUUACCUCAACGGGGAUAUGCACAUCCCCAAUAAUCAGAAUAUCAUAUUUCUUCUUGACAGUAGGAAGAGGAAAUUCUAAACCUCCAAAAAUAAUCGAUGGAAUUUUUCCAAUAGAGUUGAUACUAUGAACUUGAGGUUGUUUCCUCGGAAAGUGUACCGUAUGCUCAUUACCAUUAACAUGAAAAGUGACAUUGCCUUUGUUGCAAUCAAUAACAGCCCCUGCAGUAUUCAAAAAAGGUCUUCCAAGAAUAAUAGACAUACUAUCGUCCUCGGGAAUAUCAAGAAUAACAAAGUUCGUUAAAAUAGUAACGUUUGCAACCACAACAGGCACAUCCUCACAAAUACCGACAGGUAUAGCAGUUGAUUUAUCGGCCAUUUGCAAAGAUAUUUCAGUAGGUGUCAACUUAUUCAAAUCGAGUCUACGAUAUAAAGAGAGAGGCAUAACACUAACACCGGCUCCAAGAUCACAUAAAGCAGUUUUAACAUAGUUUCUUUUAAUGGAGCAUGGUAUAGUAGGUACUCCUGGAUCUCGAAGUUUCUUUGGUAUUCCACCUUUAAAAGUAUAAUUAGCAAGCAUGGUGGAAAUUUCAGCUUCCGGUAUCUUUCUCUUAUUUGUAACAAUAUCUUUCAUAUACUUAGCAUAAGGAUUCAUUUUGAGCAUAUCAGUCAAAUGCAUACGCAAGAAGAUAGGUCUAAUCAUUUCAGCAAAGCGCUCAAAAUCCUCAUCAUCCUUUUUUGGGAUGGUUUAGGAGGAAAAGGCAUGGGUUUCUGAACCCAUGGUUCCCUUUCUUUACCAUGUUUCCUAGCAACAAAGUCUCUCUUAUCAUAACGUUGAUUCUUUGAUUGUGGGUUAUCAAGAUCAACAGCAGGUUCAAUUUCUACAUCAUUAUCAUUACUAGGUUGAGCAUCAACAUGAACAUCUUCAUUAACAUUAUAACUAGGUUCAUGUUCAUUACCAGAUUGUGUUUCAGCAUCAGAAAUAGAAAUAUCAUUUGGAUUCUCAGGUGGUUCAGCAAUAGGUUCACCAGAAGCAUGCAAAGUCCUAUCAUUUUCCUUUUUCUUCUUUUUAGAAGGACUAGGUGCAUCGAUAUUAUUUCUCUGAGAAUCAUGUUCAAUUCUCUUAGGGUGGCCUUCAGGAUACAAAGGUUCCUGAGUCAUUCUACCUGUUCUAGUAGCCACUCUAACAGCAUAAUCAUUAUUCUUACUAUUCAAUUCAUUGAGCAAAUCAUUUUGAGCUUUAAGUACUUGUUCUACUUGAGUGGUAACCAUGUAAGCAUGUUUACUAAUGAGUUUAAGUUCACCUUUAACUCUAGACAUAUAAUCACCCAAGUGUUCAAGCGUAUCGGAAUUGUAUUUCAAUUGUCUACCAAAAUAAGCAUUGAAGUUUUCUUGUUUGACAAUAAAAUUAUCAAACUCUUCUAAGCAUUGUCUAGCAGACUUAUAGUGAGGAAUAUCACCUUCAUCAAAUCUAUAGAGAGAAUUUACCUUUACUACCUGUGUCGGGUUAUCAAGACUAUGAGUUUCUUCAAUAGGUGAAGGAUUAAGAUCAUAUGUUUCUUCAACAGGAGGUAAAUUAAGACCAUGUAUUUCUUCAAUAGGAGGCAAAUUCUUAACAUCUUCAGCUUUAAUACCUUUUUCUUUCAUAGAUUUCUUUGCCUCUUGCAUAUCUUUAGGACUGAGAAAUAGAACACCCCUCUUCUUCGGAGUUGGUUUAGGAAUAGGCUCAGGAAGUGUCCAAUUAUUUUCAUCUGUCAACAUAUUAUUCAAUAGUAUUUCAGCUUCAUCCGGUGUUCUUUCCCUGAAAACAAAACCAGCACAACUAUCCAGGUAAUGUCUGGAAGCAUCGGUUAGUCCAUUAUAAAAGAUAUCAAGUAUUUCAUUUUUCUUAAGAGGAUGAUCAGGCAAAGCAUUAAGUAAUUGGAGAAGCCUCCCCCAAGCUUGUGGGGGACUCUCUUCUUCAAUUUGCACAAAAUUAUAUAUGUCCCUUAAAGCAGCUUGUUUCUUAUGUGCAGGGAAAUAUUUAGUAGAGAAGUAAUAAAUCAUAUCCUGGGGACUACGUGUUGGGGAACGUAGCAGAAAUUCAAAAUUUUCUACGCAUCACCAAGAUCAAUCUAUGGAGUCAUCUAGCAACGAGAGAGAGGAGUGCAUCUACAUACCCUUGUAGAUCGCGAGCGGAAGCGUUCAAGAGAACGGGGUUGAUGGAGUCGUACUCGUCGUGAUCCAAAUCACCGAUGAUCCUAGCGCCGAACGGACGGCACCUCCGCGUUCAACACACGUACGGAGCAGCGACGUCUCCUCCUUCUUGAUCCAGCAAGGGGGGAGGAGAGGUUGAUGGAGAUCCAGCAGCACGACGGCGUGGUGGUGGAAGUAGCGGGAUUCCAACAGGGCUUCGCCAAGCGCUGCGGGAGGAGGGAGAUGUGUCACGGGAGGGAGAGGGAUGCGUCAGGGCUUAGGUUUUGCUGCCCUCCCUUCCCCCCACUAUAUAUAGGUCCAAGGGAGAGGGGGGGCGCAGCCUUGGCCCUUCCUCCAAGGUAGGGUGCGGCCAGGGAGGAGUCCAUCCUCCCCAAGGCACCUAGGAGGUGCCUUCCCCCUUUAGGACUCUCCAUUUACCUUAUCUCUUGGCGCAUGGGCCUCUUGGGGCUGGUUCCCUUGGCCCAUAUAGGCCAAGGCACACACCCCACAGCCCAUGUGGCGCCCCGGGGGUAGGUGGACCCCUUGGUGGACCCCCGGACCCCUUUCGGCACUCUCGGUACGAUACCGAUAAUGCGCGAAACUUUUCCGGCGACCAAAACAAGACUUCCCAUAUAUAAAUCUUUACCUCCGGACCAUUCCGGAACUCCUCGUCACGUCCGGGAUCUCAUCCGGGACUCCGAACAACUUUCGGGUUACCGCAUACUAAUAUCUCUACAACCCUAGCGUCACCGAACCUUAAGUGUGUAGACCCUACGGGUUCGGGAGACACGCAGACAUGACCGAGACGACUCUCCGGUCAAUAACCAACAGCGGGAUCUGGAUACCCAUGUUGGCUCCCACAUGCUCCUCGAUGAUCUCAUCAGAGGAACCACGAUGUCGAGGAUUCAAUCAACCCCGUAUAAAAUUCCCUUUGUCUACCGGUAUAGUACUUGCCCGAGAUUCGAUUGUCGGUAUCCUGAUACCUUGUUCAAUCUCGUUACCGGCAAGUCUCUUUACUCGUUCCGUAACACAUCAUCCCGUGAUCAACUCCUUGGUCACAUUGUGCACAUUAUGAUGAUGUCCUACCGAGUGGGCCCAGAGAUACCUCUCUGUUUACACGGAGUGACAAAUCCGAGUCUCGAUUCGUGCCAACCCAACAGACACUUUCGGAGAUACCUGUAGUGCACCUUUAUAGCCACCCAGUUACGUUGUGACAUUUGGUACACCCAAAGCAUUCCUACGGUAUCCGGGAGUUGCACAAUCUCAUGGUCUAAGGAAAUGAUACUUGACAUUAGAAAAGCUCUUAGCAAACGAACUACACGAUCUUGUGCUAGGCUUAGGAUUGGGUCUUGUCCAUCACAUCAUUCUCCUAAUGAUUUGAUCCCGUUACCAACGACAUCCAAUGUCCAUGGUCAGGAAACUGUAACCAUCUAUUGAUCAACGAGCUAGUCAACUAGAGGCUUACUAGGGACAUGGUGUUGUCUAUGUAUCCACACAUGUAUCUGAGUUUCCUAUCAAUACAAUUUUAGCAUGGAUAAUAAAUGAUUAUCAUGAACAAGGAAAUAUAAUAAUAACCAAUUUAUUAUUGCCUCUAGGGCAUAUUUCCAACAGUCUCCCACUUGCACUAGAGUCAAUAAUCUAGUUCACAUCACCAUGUGAUUAACACUCACAGGCCACAUCACCAUGUGACCAACAUCCAAAGAGUUUACUAGAGUCAACAAUCUAGUUCACGUCACUAUGUGAUUACCACUCAAUGAGUUCUGGUUUGAUCAUGUUAUGCUUGUGAGAGAGGUUAUUAGUCAACGGGUCUGAACCUUUCAGAUCCGUGUGUGCUUUACGAAUAUCUAUGUCAUCUUGUGGAUGCUACCACGCGCUACUUGGAGCCAUUUCAAAUAACUGCUCUACUAUACGAAUCCGGUCUACUACUCAGAGUCAUCCGGAUUAGUGUCAAAGUUCGCAUCGACGUAACCCUUUACGACGAACUCCUUUUCACCUCCAUAAUCGAGAAAAUUUCUUAGUCCACUAGAUACUAAGGACAAGUUCGACCGCUGUCAUGUGAUCCAUUCCCGGAUCACUAUUGUACCCCUUGACCAACUCAUGGCAAGGCACAUUUCAUGUGCGGUACACAACAUAGCAUACUGUAGAGCCUACGUCUAAAGCAUAGGGGACGACCUUCGUCCUUUGUCUCUCUUCUGCUGUGGUCAGGCCUUGAGUCUUACUCAAUACUCACACCUUGUAACACAACCAAGAACUCCUUCUUUGCUGAUCUAUUUUGAACUCUUUCAAAAUCAUGUCAAGGUGUGCGUUCUUUGAAAGUAUCAUCAGGCGUCUUGAUCUAUCUCUAUAGAUCUUGAUGCCCAAUAUGUAAGCAGCUUUAUCCAGGUCUUCCUUUGAAAAACUCCUUUCAAACAACCCUUUAUCAUUUCGGAUCAACAAUAUGUCAUUCACAUAUACUUAUCAGAAAUGUUGUAGCGCUCCUACUCACUUUAUUGUAAAUACAAGUUUCUAACAAACUUUGUAUAAACCCAAAAACUUUGAUCACUCCAUCAAAGCGUAUAUUCUGGCUCCGAGAUGCAUGCUCUAGUCCAUGGAAGGAUCGCUAGAGCUAGCAUACCUUUUAGCAUCCUUAGGAUCGACAAAACCUUUCUGAUUGUAUCACAUACAACCUUUCCUUACGAAAACUGGUAAGGAAACUUGUUUUUGACAUCCAUCUGCCAGAUUUCAUAAAUGCAGCUAAUGCUAACAUGAUUCCGACGGACUUAAGCAUCGCUACGGAUGAGAAAAUUUCAUCGUAGUCAACUCCUUGAACUUGUGAAAAUACUCUUUGCCACAAGUCGAGCUUCAUAGACGGUAACAUUACCGUCCACGUCCGUCUUCUUCUUAAAGAUCCAUUUAUCUCAAUGGCUUGCCGAUCAUCGGGCAAGUUCACCAAAGUCCAUGCUUUGUUCUGAUACAUGGAUCCUAUCUCGGAUUUCAUGGCUUCUAACCAUUUGUCGGAAUAUGGGCCCACCAUCGCUUCUCCAUAGCUCGUAGGUUCAGUAUUGUCUAACAACAUGAUAUCUAAGACAGGAUUACCGUACCACUCAGGAGUAGUACAUAUCCUUGUCGACCUACGAGGUUUGGUAGUGACUUGAUCCGAAGUUUCAUGAUCACUAUCAUAAGCUUCCACUUCAAUUGGUGUAGGUGCCACANNNNNNNNNNNNNNNNNNNNNNNNNNNNNNNNNNNNNNNNNNNNNNNNNNNNNNNNNNNNNNNNNNNNNNNNNNNNNNNNNNNNNNNNNNNNNNNNNNNNNNNNNNNNNNNNNNNNNNNNNNNNNNNNNNNNNNNNNNNNNNNNNNNNNNNNNNNNNNNNNNNNNNNNNNNNNNNNNNNNNNNNNNNNNNNNNNNNNNNNNNNNNNNNNNNNNNNNNNNNNNNNNNNNNNNNNNNNNNNNNNNNNNNNNNNNNNNNNNNNNNNNNNNNNNNNNNNNNNNNNNNNNNNNNNNNNNNNNNNNNNNNNNNNNNNNNNNNNNNNNNNNNNNNNNNNNNNNNNNNNNNNNNNNNNNNNNNNNNNNNNNNNNNNNNNNNNNNNNNNNNNNNNNNNNNNNNNNNNNNNNNNNNNNNNNNNNNNNNNNNNNNNNNNNNNNNNNNNNNNNNNNNNNNNNNNNNNNNNNNNNNNNNNNNNNNNNNNNNNNNNNNNNNNNNNNNNNNNNNNNNNNNNNNNNNNNNNNNNNNNNNNNNNNNNNNNNNNNNNNNNNNNNNNNNNNAGACAUUUUAUCCUCUUGUCACGACGAUCUUCAACUUCACUCUGAAAUUACUUGAACCUUUCAAUAAUUUAGACUUGUGUUUCAUCAAGUAAAUAUUCUCAGCAUCUACUCAAAUCAUCUGUGAAGUAAGAACAUAUCGAUAUCCACUGCGUGCCUCAGCACUCAUUGGACUGCACACAUCAAAUGUAUUACUUCCAACAAGUUGCUCUCUUGUUCCAUCUUACUGAAAACGAGGCCUUUCAGUCAUCUUGCCCAUGUGGUAUGAUUUGCAUGUCUCAAGUGAUUCAAAAUCAAGUGAGUCCAAACGAUCCAUCUGCAUGGAGUUUCUUCAUGCAUAUAUACCAAUAGACAUGGUUCGCAUGUCUCAAUCUUUUCAAAAACGAGUGAGUCCAAAGAUCCAUCUACAUGGAGCUUCUUCAUGCGUUCUAUACCAAUAUGACUCAAAUGGCAGUGCCACAAGUAUGUGGUACUAUCAUUACUAUUUUAUAUCUUUUGGCACGAACAUGUGUAUCACUGCGAUCGAGAUUCAUUUUAGGUGCAAGACCAUUGAAGGUAUUAUUCAAAUAAACAGAGUAACCAUUAUUCUCCUUAAAUGAAUAACCGUAUUGCAAUAAACAUAAUCCAAUCAUGUUUAUGCUCAACACUAAAUAACAAUUAUUUAGGUUUAACACCAAUCUCGAUGGUAGAGGGAGCAUGCGAUGCUUGAUCACAUCAACCUUGCAAACACUUCCAACACAUAUCGUCAUCUCACCUUUAGCUAGUCUCCGUUUAUUCUGCAGCUUUUAUUUCGAGUUACUAACACUUAGCAACCGAACCGGUAUCUAAUACCCUGGUGCUGCUAGGAGUACUAGUAAAGUACACAUUCAUAUAAUGUAUAUCCAAUAUACUUCUGUCGACCUUGCCUGCCUUCUCAUCUAUCAAGUAUCUAGGGUAGUUCUGCUUCAGUGACCGUUCCCCUCAUUACAGAAGCACUUAGUCUCGGGUUUGGGUUCAACCUUGGGAUUCUUCACUAGAGCAGCAAAUGAUUUGCUAUUUCAUGAAGUAUCCCUUUUGCCCUUGCCCUUCUAGAAACUAGUGGUUUUACUAACCAUCAACAAUUGAUGCUCCUUCUUGAUUUCUACUUUCGCGGUGUCAAACAUCGCGAGUUGCUCAAGGAUCAUCAUAUCUAUCCCUGAUAUGUUAUAGUUCAUCACGAAGCUCUAAUAGCUUGGUGGCAGUGACUAUGGAGAACCAUCACUAUCUUAUCUGGAAGAUUAACUCCCACUCGAUUCAAGCGAUUGUAGUACUCAGACAAUCUGAGCACAUGCUCAACAAUUGAGCUUUUCUCCCUCAGUUUGCAGGCUUAAGAAACUUGUCAGAGGUCUCAUACCUCUUGACGUGGGCACUAGUCUGAAAUCCCAAUUUCAGUCUUCGGAACAUCUCAUAUGUUCUGUGACGUUUCAAAACGUCUUUGGUGCCACAAUUCUAAACCGUUAGCAUUACGCACUGAACUAUCACGUAGUCAUCAAAACGUGUAUGCCAGAUGUUUCGCAACAUCUACAGACAACGCUGAGGUUCAGCACACCGAGCGGUGCAUUAAGGACAUAAGCCUUCUGUGCAGCAAUGAGGACAAUCCUCAGUCCACGGACCCAGUCCGCAUAAUUGCUACUAUCAACUUUCAACUAAAUUUUCUCUAGGAACAUAUCUUAAACAGUAGAACUAAAGCGUAAGCUAUGACAUAAUUUGCAAAGACAUUUUGACUAUGUUCAUGACAAUUAAGUUCAUCUGAUUAAUGAACUCCCACUCAGAUAGACAUCCCUCUAGUCAUCUAAGUGAUACAUGAUCCGAGUCAAACUAGGCCGUGUCCGAUCAUCACGUGAGACAGACUAGUCAUCAUCGGUGAACAUCUCCAUGUUGAUCGCAUCUACUAUACGACUCAUGUUCGACCUUUCGAUCUCUUGUGUUCCGAGGCCAUGUCUGUACAUGCUAGGCUCGUCAAGUCAACCUAAGUGUUUCGCAUGUGUUCCGAGGCCAUGUCUGUACAUGCUAGGCUCGUCAACACUCGUUGUAUUCGAACGUUAGAAUCUAUCACACCCGAUCGUCACGUGGUGCUUCGAAACAACGAACCUUCGCAACGGUGCACAGUUAGGGGGAACACGUCUCUUGAAAUUUUUAGUGAGGGAUUAUCUUAUUUAUGCUACCGUCGUUCUAAGCAAAUAAGAUGUAAACAUGACAAACAUCACAUGCAAAUCAUAAGGUGACGUGAUAUGGCCAAUAUCAUCUUGCGCCUUUGAUCUCCAUCUUCGAGGCGCGGCAUGAUCACCUUCGUCACCGGCAUGACACCAUGAUCUCCAUCAUCAUGAUCUCCAUCAUCGUGUCUUCAUGAAGUUGUCUCGCCAACUAUUACUUCUACUACUAUGGCUAACGGUUAGCAAUAAAGUAAAGUAAUUACAUGGCGUUUUCAUUGACACGCAGGUCAUAUAAUAAAUUAAGACAACUCCUAUGGCUCCUGCCGGUUGUCAUACUCAUCGACAUGCAAGUCGUGAUUCCUAUUACAAGAACAUGAUCAAUCUCAUACAUCACAUAUAUCAUUCAUCACAUCCUUUUGGCCAUAUCACAUCACAUAGCAUACCCUGCAAAAACAAGUUAGACGUCCUCUAAUUGUUGUUGCAUGUUUUACGUGGCUGCUAUGGGAUUCUAGCAAGAACGUUUCUUACCUACGCAAAAGCCACAACGUGAUAUGCCAAUUUCUAUUUACCCUUCAUAAGGACCCUUUUCAUCGAAUCCGAUCCGACUAAAGUGGGAGAGACAGACACCCGCUAGCCACCUUAUGCAACUAGUGCAUGUCAGUCGGUGGAACCUGUCUCACGUAAGAGUACGUGUAAGGUCGGUCUGGGCCGCUUCAUCCCACGCUGCCGCCGAAUCAAGAUAAGACUAGUAACGGCAAGUAAAUUGACAAAAUCGACGCCCACAACUACUUUGUGUUCUACUCGUGCAUAGAAACUACGCAUAGACCUAGCUCAUGAUGCCACUGUUGGGGAACGUAGCAGAAAUUCAAAAAUUUCUACGCAUCACCAAGAUCAAUCUAUGGAGUCAUCUAGCAACGAGAGAGAGGAGUGCAUCUACAUACCCUUGUAGAUCGCGAGCGGAAGCGUUCAAGAGAACGGGGUUGAUGGAGUCGUACUCGUCGUGAUCCAAAUCACCGAUGAUCCUAGCGCCGAACGGGUGGCACCUCCGCGUUCAACACACGUACGGAGCAGUGACGUCUCCUCCUUCUUGAUCCAGCAAGGGGGGAGGAGAGGUUGAUGGAGAUCCAGCAGCACGACGGCGUGGUGGUGGAAGUAGUGGGAUUCCAACAGGGCUUCGCCAAGCGCUGCGGGAGGAGGGAGAUGUGUCACGGGAGGGAGAGGGAAGCGCCAGGGCUUAGGUUUUGCUGCCCUCCCUUCCCCCCACUAUAUAUAGGGCCAAGGGAGGGGGGGCGCAGCCUUGUCCCUUCCUCCAAGGAAGGGUGCGGCCAGGGAGGAGUCCAUCCUCCCCAAGGCACCUAGGAGGUGCCUUCCCCCUUUAGGACUCUCCCUUUACCUUAUCUCUUGGCGCAUGGGCCUCUUGGGGCUGGUUCCCUUGGCCCAUAUAGGCCAAGGCACACACCCCACAGCCCAUGUGGCCCCCGGGGCAGGUGGGCCCCUUGGUGGACCCCCGGACCCCUUUCGGCACUCCCGGUACAAUACCGAUAAUGCGCGAAACUUUUCCGGCGACCAAAACAAGACUUCCCAUAUAUAAAUCUUUACCUCCGGACCAUUCCGGAACUCCUCGUGACAUCCGGGAUCUCAUCCGGGACUCCGAACAACUUUCGGGUUACCGCAUACUAAUAUCUCUACAACCCUAGCGUCACCGAACCUUAAGUGUGUAGACCCUACGGGUUCGGGAGACACGCAGACAUGACCGAGACGACUCUCCGGUCAAUAACCAACAGCGGGAUCUGGAUACCCAUGUUGGCUCCCACAUGCUCCUCGAUGAUCUCAUCGGAUGAACCACGAUGUCGAGGAUUCAAUCAAUCCCGUAUACAAUUCCCUUUGUCUACCGGUAUAGUACUUGCCCGAGAUUCGAUCGUCGGUAUCCCGAUACCUUGUUCAAUCUCGUUACCGGGAAGUCUCUUUACUCGUUCCGUAACACAUCAUCCCGUGAUCAACUCCUUGGUCACAUUGUGCACAUUAUGAUGAUGUCCUACCGAGUGGGCCCAGAGAUACCUCUCCGUUUACACGGAGUGACAAAUCCGAGUCUCGAUUCGUGCCAACCCAACAGACACUUUCGGAGAUACCUGUAGUGCACCUUUAUAGCCACCCAGUUACGUUGUGACGUUUGGUACACCCAAAGCAUUCCUAUGGUAUCCGAGAGUUGCACAAUCUCAUGGUCUAAGGAAAUGAUACUUGACAUUAGAAAAGCUCUGAGCAAACGAACUACACGAUCUUGUGCUAGGCUUAGGAUUGGGUCCUGUCCAUCACAUCAUUCUCCUAAUGAUGUGAUCCCGUUAUCAAUGACAUCCAAUGUCCAUGGUCAGGAAACCGUAACCAUCUAUUGAUCAACGAGCUAGUCAACUAGAGGCUUACUAGGGACAUGGUGUUGUCUAUGUAUCCACACAUGUAUCUGAGUUUCCUAUCAAUACAAUUUUAGCAUGGAUAAUAAACGAUUAUCAUGAACAAGGAAAUAUAAUAAUAACCAAUUUAUUAUUGCCUCUAGGGCAUAUUUCCAACACUACGCACACAACCAGGAUCAAGAGAAUUAAACCAUAUCUUAGCAUCACCCUUUAAUGAGAACGGAAAUAAUUUAAGGAUAUAAAGGUAGCGGAUUUCUCAUCCUUAGUGAACAGGGUGGCCAUAUCAUUUAAUUUAGUAAGAUGUGCCACAACAGUUUCAGAUUCAUAGCCAUAAAAAGGAUCAGAUUCAACCAAAGUAAUUGUAUCAGGAUCAACAGAGAAUUCACAAUCCUUAUCAGUAACACAGAUAGGUGAAGUAGCAAAGGCAGGGUCAGGUUUCAUUCUAGCAUUAAGAGAUUGCUGCUUCCAUUUAGCUAAUAACUUCUUAAGAUCACUUCUAUCAUUGCAAGCUAAAAUGGCUCUAGCAGAUUCUUCAUCCAGAACAUAACCCUAUAAGGCACAACAGGUAAUUCAUAUUUAUUAGGGGGAGAGUCUUCAUCACCACUAUCUUCAAUAUUAUCAGUUACAAUAAUUUCAUUCUCUCUAGCCCUAGCAAAUUGUUCAUCAAGAAAUUCACCAAGUGGCACAGUAGUAUCAAGCAUAGAAGUAGUUUCAUCAUAAGUAUCAUGCAUAGCAGAAGUGGCAUCAUCAAUAACAUGCGACAUAUCAGAAUGAAUAGCAGAAGCAGGUUUAGGUGUCGCAAGCUUACUCAAAACAGAAGGUGAAUCAAGUGCAGAGCUAGAUGGCAAUUCCUUACCUCCCCUCGUAGUUGAGGGAUAAAUUUUUGUUUUCUCGUCUUUCAAGUUCUUCAUAGUGACCAGCAGAUAUAAAUCCCAAGUGACUCAAAGAAUAGAGCUAUGCUCCCCGGCAAUGGUGCCAGAAAAUAGUCUUGAUAACCCACAAGUAUAGGGGAUCGCAACAGUUUUCGAGGAUAGAGUAUCCAACCCAAAUUUAUUGAUUCGACACAAGGGGAGCCAAAGAAUAUUCUCAAGUAUUAGCAGUUGAGUUGUCAAUUCAACCACACCUGGAUAACUUAAUAUCUGCAGCAAAGUAUUUAGUAGCAAAGUAAUAUGGAAAUAACGGUAACGACAGCAAAAGUAAUAUUUUUGGGUUUUGUAGUGAUUGUAACAAUAGCAACGGGAAAGUAAAUAAGCGGAGAACAAUAUGUGAAAAGCUCGUAGGCAUUGGAUCAGUGAUGGAGAAUUAUGCCGGAUGCGGUUCAUCAUGUAACAAUCAUAACAUAGGGUGACACAGAACUAGCUCCAAUUCAUCAAUGUAAUGUAGGCAUGUAUUCCGAAUAUAGUCAUACGUGCUUAUGUAUAAGAACUUGCAUGACAUCUUUUGUCCUACCCUCCCGUGGCAGCAGGGUCCUAAUGGAAACUAAGGGAUAUUAAGGCCUCCUUUUAAUAGAGUACCGGACCAAAGCAUUAACACAUAGUGAAUACAUGAACUCCUCAAACUACGGUCAUCACCGGGAGUGGUCCCGAUUAUUGUCACUUCGGGGUUGCCGGAUCAUAACACAUAGUAGGUGACUAUAGACUUGCAAGAUAGGAUCAAGAACUCACAUAUAUUCAUGAAAACAAAAUAGGUUCAGAUCUGAAAUCAUGGCACUCGGGCCCUAGUGACAAGCAUUAAGCAUAGCAAAGUCAUAGCAAUAUCAAUCUCAGAACAUAGUGGAUACUAGGGAUCAAACCCUAACAAAACUAACUCGAUUACAUGAUAAAUCUCAUCCACCCAUCACCGUCCAGCAAGCCUACGAUGGAAUUACUCACGCACGGCGGUGAGCAUCAUGAAAUUGGUGAUGGAGGAUGGUUGAUGAUGACGACGGCGACGGAUUCCCCUCUCCGGAGCCCCGAACAGACUCUAGAUCAGCCCUCCCGAGAGGUUUUAGGGCUUGGCGGCAGCUCCGUAUCCUAAAAUGCGAUGAAUCCCUCUCUCUGAUUUUUUUCUCCCCAAACACGAAUAUAUGGAGUUGGAGUUGAGGUCAGUGGAGCGUCAGGGGGCCCACAAGGCAGGGGGCGCGCCCCCCACCCUCGUGGACAGGGUGUGGCCCCCCUGACGUGGAUUCUUCUUCCAGUAUUUUUAAUAUUUUCCAAAAAUAUGUUCCAUGGAGUUUCAGGUCAUUCCGAGAACUUUUGUUUCUGCACAUAAAUAACACCAUGGAAAGUCUGCUGAAAAUAGUGUCAGUCCGGGUUAGUUCCAUUCAAAUCAUGCAAGUUAGAGUCCAAAACAAGGGCAAAAGUGUUUGGAAAAGUAGAUACGACGAAGACGUAUCAGCAUCCUCAUUAGGAGUACCAGAAAAUUGAUCUUUCAUAACAAGAUUCAGCAAACCAGUAUUAAUAUCACAAGACUCCGCACUAGUGGCGGGAGGAGCAAUCGGAGUGCCAAUAAAAUCGUUGUUGUUGGUAUUUGAGAAAUCACACAACUUGGUGUUCUCUUGAGUCAUUGUGACUAUGCAACAAGAUUGCACUCUAAAGAGGUCUGGCAAGAAAAAGGCGAACGAAAAAGAGGGCGAAUAAAACGGCAAAUUUUUGUGAAGUGGGGGAGAGGAAAACGAGAGGAAAAUGGCAAAUAAUGUAAAUUGCGAGGAGAUGAGAUUUGUGAUUAGGAACCUAGUAUAUGUUGAAGAUCCUCCCCGGCAACGGCGCCAGAAAUUCCUUUUGAUGUGGCUUGAAGCUACGUCGGUAUUUCCCCAAAGAGGAAGGGAUGAUGCAGCACAGCAGUGGUAGGUAUUUCCCUCAGUGAUGAAACCAAGGUUAUCGAACCAGUAGGAGAACCAAGCAAAACAACGUAAAUAGCCCCUACAUACAAAUAACAAAUACUCGCAACCCGACGUGUAAAAGGGGCUGUCAAUCCCUUUCAGGUAGCGACGCCUCAAGAUAGGCAAACGGACGUGAGGAAAUUAUAGUAGAUUGAUAGAUCGAACACCAAACAAAAUAAAUAAGAAUACAUUGCAGAAAGGUAUUUUUGUAUUUUUGUUUUAAUAGAUCUGAAAAUAAAAGCAAAGGAAAAGUAGAUCUCAAAGGCAAAAACAUGAGAAAGAGACCCGGGGGCCGUAGGUUUCACUAGUGGCUUCUCUCGAGAAAAAUAGCAAACGGUGGGUAAACAAAUUACUGUUGGGCAAUUGAUAGAACUUCAUAAAAUCAUGACGAUAUCCAGGCAAUGAUCAUUAUAUAGGCAUCACGUCCAAGAUUAGUAGACCGACUCCUGCCUGCAUCUACUACUAUUACUCCACACAUCGACCGCUAUCCAACAUGCAUCUAGUGUAUUAAGUUCAUGGAGAAACGGAGUAAUGCAAUAAGAACGAUGACAUGAUGUAGACAAGAUAUAUUUACGUAGAAAUAGACCCCAUCGUUUUAUCCUUAGUAGCAACGAUACAUACGUGUCGGUUCCCCUUCUGUCGCUGGGAUCAAGCACCGUAAGAUCGAACCCACUACAAAGCACCUCUUCCCAUUGCAAGAUAAAUAGAUCAAGUUGGCCAAAGAAAACUCAAAUAUCGGAGAAGAAAUACGAGGCUAUAAGCAAUCAGGCAUAUAAGAGACCAAAGAAACUCAAAUAACUUUCAUGGAUAUAAAAAGAUAGAUCUGAUCAUAAACUCAAAGUUCAUCCGAUCCCAACAAACACACCGUAAAAAGAGUUACAUCAUAUGGAUCUCCAAGAGACCAUUGUAUUGAUAGUCAAAAGAGAGAGAGGAAGCCAUCUAGCUACUAACUACGGACCCGAAGGUCUACAAAGAACUACUCACGCAUCAUCGGAGAGGCACCAAUGGAAGUGGUGAACCCCUCCGUGAUGGUGUCUAGAUUGGAUCUGGUGGUUAUGGACUGCGGCGGCUGGAAUUGAUUUUCGUCGACUCCCCUAGGGUUUCUGGAAUAUUGGGGUAUUUAUAGAGCAAAGAGGCGGUCCGGGAGGCACCCGAGGUGGGCACAACCCACCAGGGCGCGCCCUGGUGGGUUGUGCUCCCCUCGGAGCACCCCCGGGCGCUGCCUUGGCCCAUUGGGUGUCUUCUGGUCCCUAAAAUAUCUUCGUGAAGUUUCAUUGCAUUUGGACUCCGUUUGGUAUUGAUUUCCUGCGAUGUAAAAAACAUGCAGAAAACAACAACUGGCACUUGGCACUAUGCCAAUAGGUUAGUACCAAAAAAUGAUAUAAAAUGAUUAUAAAACAUCCAAGAUUGAUAAUAUAACAGCAUGGAACAAUAAAAAAUUAUAGAUACGUUGGAGACGUAUCACAGCCUCAGCUUGAUCUACAAGGACACUGUUCGUAAGAUGGGUAUCCACCCGUCAACAAUCAAGCCUAGCAACACUACCUUUAAAGGAGUGAUACCCGGCGUGGAGGCCCACUGCACGGGCUCCUUAACACUGGAAGUAGUAUUCGGCUCUCCAGACAACUUGCGAAGCGCGGAAUUGAUCUUCUACAUCGUCCCUUUUCGCAGUGGUUAUCAUGCACUGCUCGAGCGAACUGCUUUCGCCCACUUUAAUGCAGUCCCGCACUAUGCUUAUCUAAAGCUCAAAAUUCCUAGACCUCGUGGCGUAAUCAUAGUAAAUGGGAAUAUAGAGCGCUCCCUCUGUACUGAGGAGCAUACCGCGGCCCUAGCAGCCGAAGUACAAGGCGGCCUCAUCAAGCCGAACAACUCAUCGGUCAUCAAGACCCAUGACACCGCUAAACGAGUCCGACCCGCAUUACAAUGCGGUAGCUCGGUGGAAUCGGAGCUUGAAUAGCAGUUUAGCCUCCGCCGAUUGCCCCAUAAGGUUGCGGCAUACGUACCGCGCGUACAUAACUACGCACUUAAAAUACCUUGGGAAGCACCGGAGGCACACUGGGGAAAAGGUCCAUAGUACGGCUUGACCCUAUUCGGACCUCAAAUAUUUUUUCCAUUGUAGGUUCGUUAAGAAACCUACCUCAUCUACAGUCGUACGGGGGCUCCUUUCCAGGUCCCUCUUUCUAGCUGACGACCAUCGUACUCCUCCUCAACAAGUGAAAGAUCGUGGAUGUCGCCUAGAGGGGGGAUGAAUAGGCGCUUUAAAAUAAUUACGGCUUAGGCUUGAACAAAUGCGGAAUAAACCUAGCGGUUAAUUUGACAAGCACAAAACCUACAAUAACUAGGCUCACCUAUGUGCACCAACACUUUAUGCUAAGCAAGAUAAACAACUAAGUGAUAGCAAGAUAUAUGACAAGAAAUAAUAUGGCUAUCACAAAGUAAAGUGCAUGAGUAAAGGGCUCGGGUAAGAGAUAACCGAAGCACGCGGAGACGACGAUGUAUCCCGAAGUUCACACCCUUGCGGAUGCUAAUCUCCGUUUGGAGAGGUGUGGAGGCACAAUGCUCCCCAAGAAGCCACUAGCGCCACCGUAAUCUCCUCACGCCCUCGCACAAUGCAAGAUGCCGUGAUUCCACUAAGGGACCCUUGAGGGCGGUCACCGAACCCGUACAAAUGGCAACCCUUGGGGGGCGGUCACCGAACCCGUACACUUUGGCAACCCUUGGGGGCGGUCACCAGUACCCGUCAAAUUGCUCGGGGCGACCCCCCACAACCUAAUUGGAGACCCCGACGCUUGCCCGAAGCUUUGCACCACAAUGAUUGAGCUUCGAACACCACCAACCAUCUAGGGCGCCCAAGCACCCAAGAGGAACAAGCUCAAGGGUACCAAGCACCCAAGAGUAAUAAGCUUCUCAACUUGUAACUUCCAUGUAUCACUGUGGAGAACUCAAACCGAUGCACCAAAUGCAAUGGCAAGGGCGCAUGGAGUGCCCAAGUCCUUCUCUCCCAAAUCCCACCGAAGCAACUAAUGCUAGGGAGUAAAAUGAGAGGAAGAACGAAGAAGAGAACACAAAGAACUCCAAGAUCUAGAUCCGAAGGGUUCCCCUCACAUAGAGGAGAAUUGGUGGAAAUGUGGAUCUAGAUCUCCUCUCUCUUUUCCCCCAAAAACUAGCAAGAAUCCAUGGAGGGAUUGAGAGUUAGCAAGCUCGAAGAAGGUCAACAAUGGGGGAAGAACACGAGCUCAAGAGAUGAGGUUCAUUGGGGAAGAAGACCCCAUUUUAUAGGAGGGGGAAAAUCCAACCGUUAUGUGCUCAGCCCGCACACGAGCGGUACUACCGCUCCACAAGCGGUACUACCGCUCGGGUGGUAGAAGCAGGAAAAAGGAGCAAUAAAACAUGUACCUUGGGGCGGUAGUACCGCUUAAGCGGUACUACCGCUGGAGGAGCAGAACACGGGGCCAAAGGAGGCAGGACAGAGCAGAGUACGGUGGCAGUAGUGCAGUAGCGGUACUACCGCCCGACCGGAGCGGUACUACCGCUUAUAGGAGGAAUUGUCGUGCCUUACUGCCGCACGACUACUGCUGAACCCGACACGAAAAGAGUAGACCCAAAAUCGAGGCGGUAGUAGAGCGGUACUACCGCUUGACGCUGCAACCGGUACUACCGCUGCCACCACGGUACUACCGCAGGGAGAAAAACAGAACUGCCAUAACUUCUUCAUAUGAGCUCCGAAUUGAGCAAACUCAAACUUGUUGGAUAGAGGAAGACGAGUAGCAUCAAAACAGCGAGGUAUGCCUAAGAUAUAGAGGAGUGAACACUCCAUCAGAGAAGAACCGGCAUAACCUCCAACAUCAAAAACAUCAUAGAAGAUGCAUGUGAACUCCAUUUUUUGAUGAACUCGAGCUUGUCAAGAAAAUGACCAUAAGCUCCAAAUCUCACAAGGAGAAAAACCAAACAAGAACCAAUAAAGAUGAUGCAAGGAUGCAAUGGUUUGAGCUCUCUACGAACGAUACGAUCAAGCUACUCAUCGAGAGCCCCCCCUUGAUAGUACGGCAAUCUAUCCUAUAACCCGGUCUCCCACAACUACCAUGAGACCGGUAAAAUAGAAAACCUAUCAAGGGCAAACCUUUUCCUUGCACAUAGUCCACUUGAGCUAGAUCAUGACGAUCUUGACUCCCUCAAGCUGGACCACCUUUCUUGAUUGCGUUGGCUCGGUGAAGACUAGUAGAUUGCUCCCCCAUACUCCACUGUGGGUGAGCCACUCUUUGGCACAUCUUCACAAGUCCAUUGCCACCACAAUGGAUGGCAAGCUUCAAGCAUAUGAUCUCUUUGAGAUGAUCCUACUUGAUCUUGCACACCACAACCUAACUCCACAAAGAACUCUCACGAAGACCAUGGGUUAGUACACAAAGCAUAAUUGACAAUGCUUACCAUACCAUGGGAUCGCUUGAUCCCUCUCAGUACAUCUUCUAUGCUCUGUGUGUUGAUCAACUUGAUUCACUCUUUGACUUAGUCUUGAUCAACCUUGAAUCUUUCCAACUCCCUUCAUUUGGAUGAUGUCUUGAAGGUAAACAUGAAUGAUCACACACUCUUUUUCUUCAAGACAUGCUUGCAAUAAGUUCAACCCUCACAAGACCAAACUUUGGAUAAUUCCUUAAUAGCACCUUGGUCAGCAUGAACUCUCCUUGAAACCAACAAAUGGACUCCAAGAAAAGCCUAUGGAAAAACCCUUCAAAUAUAACUCAAGGCAACCAUUAGUCCAUAGAGAUUGUCAUUAAUUACCAAAACCAAACAUGGGGGCACCUCAUGUUCUUUCAACAAGGAUGUCUCACCAAGGAGAAACGACGAGGACGUGCAGCAGGGCAUCAUUGGGAUCUUCAAACCACUACUUUUAGACCCUGUGUAACCUUUCCCUUGUUUAAACUUUUGGCAUGUAAAAUGGCCUCGACAUUCAUGGCAUUAUCUGUAACAACACGGCUCGACGUAUUAAUCAGGGUAUAAAGGAAGUAGUCGAUCGCCACUUUGUUUGGCAAUCACUUUAUUUUAUAUUAUCAUCUGUAUUCCCUCCCUACUUCAGACUGCCACACGUGCUUUAGUCCGGCCUUCAGACCGGGGCUGUAUUCGGCCCUGCACAUUUCAAGUCCGAACACCUAUAGGGAACUCUUCGGCGUCCCGGAUAUUGCGUUAUAUGCAUCGGCUCCGAAUCAUGUCUUUGGUCUAUAGUUGGGUUGCCCGGCUCCUGUGCUUACCACCUUACGUUCCGCUCAUUCGGCUAAGGUAGUAAAGGGAGAACUACUGCGAUUGUAUUUCCGGUUCGUCCGGUCAAGUAGCUCAGUAGAGAAAGCCGAAAACUGAUUGCCAUGAUAGGCGAGAAUCAUAUCAAAUCUGAACAUUCAUCCCACAAUAACAAGAAUUACAUUGAAAUUAUGCCAAGUAGCAUUCCGCAUCAAAAAUUCUGUUUUUAUCAUUUACCUACUCGAGGACGAGCAGGAAUUAAGCUUGGGGAUGCUUGAUACGUCUCCAACGUAUCUAUAAUUUUUGAUUGCUCCAUGCUAUAUUAUCUUCUAUUUUGGACAUUAUUAGGCUUUAUUAUUCACUUCUAUAUUAUUUUGGGGACUAACCUAUUAACCGGAGGCCCAGCCCAGAAUUGCUGUUUUUUGCCUAUUUCAGAGUUUCGCAGAAAAAGAAUAUCAAACGGAGUCCAAACGGAAUGAAACCUUCGGGAACGUGAUUUUUGGAACGAACAUGAUCCAGGAGACUUUGGACCCUAAGUCAAGGAAGCUUCCAGGAAGCCACGAGGUAGGGGGGCGCGCCUACCCCCCCCCCCCCAGGCGCGCCCUCCACCCUCGUGGGCCCCAUGUUGCUCCACCGACGUACUCCUUCCUCCUAUAUAUACCUACAUACCCCCAAACGAUCAGAUACGGAGCCAAAAACCUAAUUCCACCGCUGCAACCUUCUGUACCCACGAGAUCCCAUCUUGGGGCCUGUUCCGGAGCUCCGCUGGAGGGGGCAUCGAUCACGGAGGGCUUCUACAUCAACACCAUAGCCUCUCCGAUGAAGUGUGGUCACGUGUCAUGUCGAACACCCCUGUAGCAUCUUGAUACGUCUCCAACGUAUCUAUAAUUUUUGAUUGCUCCAUGCUAUAUUAUCUUCUGUUUUGGACAUUAUUGGGCUUUAUUAUUCACUUUUAUAUUAUUUUUGGGACUAACCUAUUAACGGGAGGCCCAGCCCAGAAUUGCUGUUUUUUUUGCCUAUUUCAGAGUUUCGAAGAAAAAGAAUAUCAAACGGAGUCCAAAUGGAAUGAAACCUUCGGGAACGUGAUUUUUGGAACGAACAUGAUCCAGGAGACUUGGACCCUAAGUCAAGGAAGCUUCCAGGAAGCCACGAGGUAGGGGGCGUGCCUACCCCCCCAGGCGCGCCCUCCACCCUCAUGGGCCCCACGUUGCUCCACCGACGUACUCCUUCCUCCUAUAUAUACCUACGUACCCCCAAACGAUCAGAUACGGAGCCAAAAACCUAAUUCCACCUCCGCAACCUUCUGUACCCACGAGAUCCCAUCUUGGGGCCUGUUCUAGAGCUCCGCCGGAGGGGGCAUCGAUCACGGAGGGCUUCUACAUCAACACCAUAGCCUCUCCGAUGAAGUGUGAGUAGUUUACCUCAGACCUUCGGGUCCAUAGUUAUUAGCUAGAUGGCUUCUUCUCUCUUUUUGGAUCUCAAUACAAUGUUCUCCCCCUCUCUCAUGGAGAUCUAUUCGAUGUAAUCUUCUUUUGCGGUGUGUUUGUUGAGACCGAUGAAUUGUGGGUUUAUGAUCAAGUUUAUCUAUGAACAAUAUUUGAAUCUUCUGAAUUCUUUUAUGUAUGAUUGGUUAUCUUUGCAAGUCUCUUCGAAUUAUCAGUUUGGUUUGGCCUACUAGAUUGAUCUUUCUUGCAAUGGGAGAAGUGCUUAGCUUUGGGUUCAAUCUUGCGGUGUCCUUUCCCAGUGACAGUAGGGGCAGCAAGGCACGUAUUGUAUUGUUGCCAUCGAGGAUAACAAGAUGGGGUUUUUUUUUAUCAUAUUGCAUGAAUUUAUCCCUCUACAUCAUGUCAUCUUGCUUAAGGCGUUACUCUGUUCUUAUGAACUUAAUACUCUAGAUGCAUGCUGGAUAGCGGUCGAUGUGUGGAGUAAUAGUAGUACAUGCAGGCAGGAGUCGAUCUACUUGUCUCGGACGUCAUGCCUAUAUACAUGAUCAUACCUAGAUAUUCUCAUAACUAUGCUCAGUUCUGUCAAUUGCUCAACAGUAAUUUGUUCACCCACCGUAAAAUACUUAUGCUCUUGAGAGAAGCCACUAGUGAAACCUAUGGCCCCCGAGUCUAUUUCCAUCAUAUUAAUCUUUCAACACUUAGUUAUUUCCGUUGCUUUUAUUUUACUUUGCAUCUUUAUCACAAAAAUACCAAAAAUAUUAUCUUAUCAUAUCUAUCAGAUCUCACUCUCGUAAGUGACCGUGUAGGGAUUGACAACCCCUUAUCGCGUUGGUUGCGAGGAUUUAUUUGUUUCUGUAGGUGCGAGGGACUCGCGCCUAGCCUCCUACUGGAUUGAUACCUUGGUUCUCAAAAACUGAGGGAAAUACUUACGCUACUUUGCUGCAUCACCCUUUCCUCUUCAAGGGAAAACCAACGCAGUGCUCAAGAGGUAGCAAGAAGGAUUUCUGGCGCCGUUGCCGGGGAGGCUUAUGCGAAGUCAAGUCAAGAUUUGACUCCCGACAAUGAGCCAAUUCUGGCGCCGUUGCCGGGGAGUCUACGCAAAAGUCAACAUACCAAGUACCCAUCACAAAUCCUUAUCUCCCGCAUUACAUUAUUUGCCAUUUGCCUCUCGUUUUCCUCUCCCCCAAUUCACCCUUGCCAUUUUAUUCGCCCUCUCUUUUCCGUUCGCCUCUUUUUUCGCGUGCUUCUUGUUUGCUCGUGUUGCCAUAUGUGCCUUCUAUAUGCUUGCAUCUUCGCUUGUUGAAAAUCUAUUGAUAUGGAUCCACUUAAAGUGUUCUACUUGGAUCAUCUUCGAUCCUUAUGCGCUCGUGCUGAAACCCCAACUAGCCUAGUUGAUGGGAAAUCUUUAGAUGAGCAAGCUCAUUUUGUGCGUCAUCGUUUGUCUGAAAAAGGGAAGCUCUUAUGGUAUCAUAUAAAUAGUUUGCUAUGCUAUGCUUGGAAUCUUUGUGAAAUUUGUGAUUUUACUUGUUGCUCUAAGAACCCUAAAAAACACCUUCCCUACCUAUGUGAGUUCAAUGAUAAUGAAAUCUUAUCUUCUUAUGCAAAGGGUGUUUAUAGUUACUAUGAUAUCGAACAAAUUGAAGAAUUUGUCGUUUUUAAGGGUGCUCAUGAAGUUGCUUCUUUGAUUCAAAAGUAUGAUUUUACUCUCAACAAAUCUGAAAAUUCCGUCAUACUUAAAUAUUGCAAUGAAAACUUUGCUCAAAAUGUCUAUGUCCAAGAAUUUAUUGAAAGAAUGGCCGUUGCUUUGGAAGAAAAUAAUGAUAUGCAUGAAUCUAUAGAUAAUUAUGAUUCUGAUGAUUUGGUUGAAAUAUCCCUUGAUGAACAUGAUGCUUGCUAUUCUUGUGGCCAUGAUGCCAAUAUUUAUGAAGAUGAAUUUGCUAUAGUUCCUUAUGUUAAACAUGUGAUCGUUGCUAUUGCACCCAUACUUGAUAGUUCCUUCGAUGAAAAGCAUGAUUGCAAUGAUUUUACUAUAAAUUCUCUUGAUGUCAAUUAUGCUAAUAAUAUGCAAAACCCUAAGCUUGGGGAUGCUAGUUUUGCUAUGUCUACUACUUGUUGUAAAGAUCAUGAUUGGGGUGAUUCUUCUUAUGAUCUUGAAAAUUUAUUUAAGCCCCAUGAUAAAUAUGAGAUUGAUAAUAAUGUUUGCAAUAAUAUUGAAAGUGGGUUUGGAAGAGUGUCAACUUUAGAUCCCACAUAUUUGGAGAAUGUUCAAUCUUAUGGUAUUUUUGAUAAAAGUGGGUUUGGAGAGGUCAUAACUUUAGUUAAUGAUAAUCCCACUAUUUUGGAAGAGUGUCAACUUUGCAUGCAUGUGGAUCGUAUUGAAAAUAUUUUAUGUGAUAGCUAUUUUAUUGAAUUUGCUUAUGAUCCCACAUGUAAUUAUUAUGAGAGAGGAAAAUAUAGUUGUAGAAAUUUUCAUGAUAAUAAAUUACCUCUCGUUAUGUUGAGAUUGCUAUUGUUUCUUUCCGCUUCCUUGCAUAUGCUAAUUUUUGCUUGCUAUGAUAAUUUGUUUGCUUAUAAGAUGCCUAUGCAUAGGAAGUAUGUUAGACUUAGAUGUGUUUGUCACGUGCUAUAUGAUGCUCUCUUUGUGCUUCAAUUCUUGUCUUUCAUGUGAGCAUCAUUGAAAUUAUGCCUAGCUAGGGGCGUUAAACGAUAGCGCUUGUUGGGAGGCAACCCAAUUUUUUUUAGUUUUUUGCUUUUUCCUUCUGUUUAGGAAUAAAUCUUUGUUCUAGCCUCUGGUUAUAUGUGUUUUUAUGUUUUAAUUAGUGUUUGUGCCAAGUUAAACCUAUAGGAUCUUCUUGGAUGAUAGUUAUUUGAUCUUGCAAAAAUUUCCAGAAACUUUCUGUUCACGAAAAUAAUUGUUACAAAUCACCAGAACAUGAUAAAAUACUGAUUCAAAUUGCUGCUGAUCAAUAAAAAAAUUGUCUAGGUCGUCCUAUUUUGGCUGAUUUUUUGGAGUUCCAGAAGUUUGCGUUAGUAACAGAUUACUACAGAUUGUUCUGUUUUUGACAGAUUCUGUUUUUCGUGUGUUGUUUGCUUGUUUUGAUGAAUCUAUGGCUAGUAAAAUAGUUUAUAAACCAUAGAGAAGUUGGAAUACAGUAGGUUUAACACCAAUAUAAAUAAAUAAUGAGUUCAUUACAGUAUCUUGAAGUGGUCUUUUGUUUUCUUUCGCUAACGGAGCUCACGAUAUUUUCUGUUAAGUUUUGUGUUGUGAAGUUUUCAAGUUUUGGGUGAAAGAUUUGAUGGAUUAUGGAACAAGGAGUGGCAAGAGCCUAAGCUUGGGGAUUCCCAUGGCACCCCCCAAAUAAUCUAAGGACACCUAAAAGCCAAAGCUUGGGGAUGCCCCGGAAGGCAUCCCCUCUUUCGUCUACUUCCAUCUGUAACUUUACUUGGAGCUAUAUUUUUAUUCACCACAUGAUAUGUGUUUUGCUUGGAGCGUCUUGUAUUAUUUGAGUCUUUAUUUGUUAUUUUACCACAAUCAUACUUGCUGUACACACCUUUUGAGAGAGUCACACUUGAUUCGGAAUUUAUUAGAAUACUCUAUGUGCUUCACUUAUAUUUUUUGAGCUAUAUAGUUUUUGCUUCUAGUGCUUCACUUAUAUCUUUUAGAGCACGGUGGUGGAUUUGUUUUAUAGAAACUAUUGAUCUCUCAUGCUUCACUUAUAUUAUUUUGAGAGUCUUAAAAUAGCAUGGCAUUUGCUUUAAUUAGUAUCAUGAGAAAUUUGAUGCUUGAUAAUUGUUUUGAGAUAUAAAGGUAGUAAUAUCAUAGUUGUGCUAGUUGAGUAAUUGUGGAAUUGAAAAAUACAUGUGUUGGAGUUUGUGAUUCCCGUAGCAUGCACGUAUGGUGAACCGUUAUGUAACGAAGUCGGAGCAUGAAGUAUUUGUUGAUUGUCUUCCUUUGUGUGGCGGUCGGGAUCGCGCGAUGGUUAACUCCUACCAACCCUUCCCCUAGGAGCAUGCGUAGUAGUACUUUGCUUUGAGGGCUAAUAAAUUUUUGCAAUAAGUAUAUGAGUUCUUUAUGACUAAUGUGAGUCCAUGGAUUAUACGCACACUUACCUUUCCGCAAUUUUCUAGCCUCUUCGGUACCGCGCAUUGCCCUUUCUCACCUUGAGAGUUGGUGCAAACUUCACCGGUGCAUCCAAACCCCAUGAUAUGAUACGCUCUAUCACGCAUAAACCUCCUUAUAUCUUCCUCAAAACAGCCACCAUACCUACCUAUCAUGGCAUUUCCAUAGCCAUUCCGAGAUAUAUUGCCAUGCAACUUUCCACCGUUUCAUUUAUCAUGACAUGCUCCAUCAUUGUCAUAUUGCUUUGCAUGAUCAUGUAGUUGACAUUGUAUUUGUGGCAAAGCCACCGUUCAUAAUUCUUUCAUACAUGUCGCUCUUGAUUCAUUGCAUAUCCCGGUACACCGCCGGAGGCAUUCAUAUAGAGUCAUAUUUUGUUCUAAGUAUUGAGUUGUAAUUCAUGAGUUGUAAGUAAAUAAAAGUGUGAUGAUCAUCAUUAUUAGAGCAUUGUCCCAAGUGAGGAAAGGAUGAUGGAGACUAUGAUUCCCCCACAAGUCGGGAUGAGACUCCGGACUAAAAAAAAGAGGCCAUAAAAAAAGAGAAAAGGCCCAAAUAACAAAAAUGAGAGAAAAAGAGAGAAGGGACAAUGUUACUAUCCUUUUACCACACUUGUGCUCCAAAGUAGCACCGUGAUCUUCAUAAUAGAGAGUCUCUCAUUUUGUCACUUUCAUAUACUAGUGGGAAAUUUCAUUAUAGAACUUGGCUUGUAUAUUCCAAUGAUGGGCUUCCUCAAAUGCCCGAGGUCUUCGUGAGCAAGCAAGUUGGAUGCACACCCACUUAGUUUCUUUUUGAGCUUUCAUACAGUUAUAGCUCUAGUGCAUCCGUUGCAUGGCAAUCCCUACUCCUCGCAUUAACAUCAAUUGAUGGGCAUCUCCAUAGCCCGUUGAUUAGCCUCGUUGAUGUGAGACUUUCUCCUUUUUUGUCUUCCCACAUAACCCCUACCAUUAUACCUUAUUCCACCAUAGUGCUAUAUCCAUGGCUUGCGCUCAUAUAUUGCGUAAGAGUUGAAAAGGCUCAAGCGCGUUAAAAGUAUGAACCAAUUGCUUGGCUAAAACCGGGGUCGUACAUGAUAUGAAUAUUUUGUGUGGGGAAUAUGGAGCAUAGCCAGACUAUAUGAUUUUGUAGGGAUAACUUGCUUUGGCUAUGUUAUUUUGAUAAGACAUAAUUGCUUAGUUAGUAUGCUUGAAAUACUAUUGUUUUUAUGUCAACAUUAAAAUUUUAUCUUGAAUAAUAUCAAAUCUGAACAUUCAUCCCACAAUAACAAGAAUUACAUUGAAAUUAUGCCAAGUAGCAUUCCGCAUCAAAAAUUCUGUUUUUAUCAUUUACCUACUCGAGGACGAGCAGGAAUUAAGCUUGGGGAUGCUUGAUACGUCUCCAACGUAUCUAUAAUUUUUGAUUGCUCCAUGCUAUAUUAUCUUCUAUUUUGGACAUUAUUAGGCUUUAUUAUUCACUUCUAUAUUAUUUUGGGGACUAACCUAUUAACCGGAGGCCCAGCCCAGAAUUGCUGUUUUUUGCCUAUUUCAGAGUUUCGCAGAAAAAGAAUAUCAAACGGAGUCCAAACGGAAUGAAACCUUCGGGAACGUGAUUUUUGGAACGAACAUGAUCCAGGAGACUUUGGACCCUAAGUCAAGGAAGCUUCCAGGAAGCCACGAGGUAGGGGGGCGCGCCUACCCCCCCCCCCCAGGCGCGCCCUCCACCCUCGUGGGCCCCAUGUUGCUCCACCGACGUACUCCUUCCUCCUAUAUAUACCUACAUACCCCCAAACGAUCAGAUACGGAGCCAAAAACCUAAUUCCACCGCUGCAACCUUCUGUACCCACGAGAUCCCAUCUUGGGGCCUGUUCCGGAGCUCCGCUGGAGGGGGCAUCGAUCACGGAGGGCUUCUACAUCAACACCAUAGCCUCUCCGAUGAAGUGUGGUCACGUGUCAUGUCGAACACCCCUGUAGCAUCUUGAUACGUCUCCAACGUAUCUAUAAUUUUUGAUUGCUCCAUGCUAUAUUAUCUUCUGUUUUGGACAUUAUUGGGCUUUAUUAUUCACUUUUAUAUUAUUUUUGGGACUAACCUAUUAACGGGAGGCCCAGCCCAGAAUUGCUGUUUUUUUUGCCUAUUUCAGAGUUUCGAAGAAAAAGAAUAUCAAACGGAGUCCAAAUGGAAUGAAACCUUCGGGAACGUGAUUUUUGGAACGAACAUGAUCCAGGAGACUUGGACCCUAAGUCAAGGAAGCUUCCAGGAAGCCACGAGGUAGGGGGCGUGCCUACCCCCCCAGGCGCGCCCUCCACCCUCAUGGGCCCCACGUUGCUCCACCGACGUACUCCUUCCUCCUAUAUAUACCUACGUACCCCCAAACGAUCAGAUACGGAGCCAAAAACCUAAUUCCACCUCCGCAACCUUCUGUACCCACGAGAUCCCAUCUUGGGGCCUGUUCUAGAGCUCCGCCGGAGGGGGCAUCGAUCACGGAGGGCUUCUACAUCAACACCAUAGCCUCUCCGAUGAAGUGUGAGUAGUUUACCUCAGACCUUCGGGUCCAUAGUUAUUAGCUAGAUGGCUUCUUCUCUCUUUUUGGAUCUCAAUACAAUGUUCUCCCCCUCUCUCAUGGAGAUCUAUUCGAUGUAAUCUUCUUUUGCGGUGUGUUUGUUGAGACCGAUGAAUUGUGGGUUUAUGAUCAAGUUUAUCUAUGAACAAUAUUUGAAUCUUCUGAAUUCUUUUAUGUAUGAUUGGUUAUCUUUGCAAGUCUCUUCGAAUUAUCAGUUUGGUUUGGCCUACUAGAUUGAUCUUUCUUGCAAUGGGAGAAGUGCUUAGCUUUGGGUUCAAUCUUGCGGUGUCCUUUCCCAGUGACAGUAGGGGCAGCAAGGCACGUAUUGUAUUGUUGCCAUCGAGGAUAACAAGAUGGGGUUUUUUUUUAUCAUAUUGCAUGAAUUUAUCCCUCUACAUCAUGUCAUCUUGCUUAAGGCGUUACUCUGUUCUUAUGAACUUAAUACUCUAGAUGCAUGCUGGAUAGCGGUCGAUGUGUGGAGUAAUAGUAGUAGAUGCAGGCAGGAGUCGGUCUACUUGUCUCGGACGUGAUGCCUAUAUACAUGAUCAUACCUAGAUAUUCUCAUAACUAUGCUCAGUUCUGUCAAUUGCUCAACAGUAAUUUGUUCACCCACCGUAAAAUACUUAUGCUCUUGAGAGAAGCCACUAGUGAAACCUAUGGCCCCCGGGUCUAUUUUCCAUCAUAUUAAUCUUUCAACACUUAGUUAUUUCCGUUGCUUUUAUUUUACUUUGCAUCUUUAUCACAAAAAUACCAAAAAUAUUAUCUUAUCAUAUCUAUCAGAUCUCACUCUCGUAAGUGACCGUGUAGGGAUUGACAACCCCUUAUCGCGUUGGUUGCGAGGAUUUAUUUGUUUCUGUAGAUGCGAGGGACUCGCGCGUAGCCUCCUACUAGAUUGAUACCUUGGUUCUCAAAAACUGAGGGAAAUACUUACGCUACUUUGCUACAUCGCCCUUUCCUCCUCAAGGGAAAACCAACGCAGUGCUCAAGAGGUAGCACAUCUACAUGGGGGCUGAAGCCGACGACUGGCAACUUUCAGAAGUAUAACAAUAAACGGUCGCACAGGAGAAAAAAUCGCUUGAAACAAAAGGCGCAAACAUAGAUAUAUAUCAGCUUGGGUUCACAACAUAGUUUGUACAACCCAAACACAUUUAAUCAAAUAUUAUGUCCUUCAAACAUUGGCCCUCUAUCUCUCGGUCUCCUUCUAGGAUGUCGUUAAGGUACCUCUCUGGCUUCCGAUGAUCUUUGCCCUCGGGCGGGCCCGCGGUUGCCACUUCAGUAGCCUUCAUCUUCGCCCAUCGCAUUUUGACAGGGGCGAAGGCCAUCCGGGCACCUUCCAUGCAGGCCGAGCGCUACACAGCAUCAAUCCGAGGCCGCGCGUUGACAAGCCGCACCACCAAACCGAAGUAGCUGCUAGGGAUCGGCUCGGCCGACCAAAGUUGGACUAUCAAGUCCUUCAUAGCCAAACCCGCCACCCUAUGCAGCUCUACCAGCUGCUUCAGUUGGUCGUUCACAGGCGUCGGGUGUCCCAGCGCGAGAAAUUGCGACCAGAACAGCUUAUCGGUCGAGCUCCCCUCCUAGGAUCGGAAAAACUGCUCGGCAUCGGCGGCACUCUUCAGAAGAUCCGUAAACGCGCGUGGAGAACUCCACACUCGUGUGAGCAAAGCGUACCAUUGACCUCCAAAGAUACUCUACAAAAGAAAGGCCUUACCAGCCGCUAUCUGCCUCACCUGAUGGACCUCUUCGCGAGCACUCCGGGACUCGCUCCGCGCCUCUUUAGCGUCCUGGAGAGCCUUGGCAAGCUCGGAGGACUGGGCCGAAGUCUUCUGCUCCAAUGUCUCGCAUUUGCUGAUGGCAUCCUUCAGCUCCUACUCGACUUUGGCCACCCGAGCUUCAUGUUGGCGGUGGGCAGUUUGUUCGGCCUCUAGUUCAGCAGUCGCUUUAUCAGCGGCUGCCUUAUUUGCCUCUGCUUCCUUCUUGGCCUGGGCGAGGGCGCCUUUGAGGGUCUCGACCUCGGCUGCGCCAACUAUGAUCAUAAUCAAAGCAUUCUAUGAGUUAACCUCUAAAUGAACAUAUCACUUCUGAUAUAAAAAUAAAUUCCUUCUUAACAUUCUAUGCAUACCUUGCGUUUCAUCAAACCGCUUGUUGAUGCGGUCGAGUUCCUCAUCUGCCACAUGAAGCUUCCGAUUGAGUUCGGAAACUUCCGUGGCCUGGGCGGUUGCUGCCAACAUGGAUGCCUGUUACAAUAGCAGCACAGUAUGUUACUCUCCCGAACACUAUGUGGAUCCUCUGUUUGGUUUCUUCUAUACCAGACAGAGCCUCAGGGGCUACUGUCUGUACACAGUUUUAUUCUUCUAUGUGAAAAGUGUUUAGAACAUUACGUCGCAUACCUCAAAGCCUAUUAGUAGACUGCAGAAGGCUUUGUUCAGUCCGCUUUUAGCAGACUGAACCUUCUCCAUCACCACACCCAUCGGGGUGCGGUGCUCCGCCACGACGGAAGCACUCUGCAUUGCUUCCUCCAGAGCGUUGGGCGCCUCCGGAUUAGUGGAGGCUGCCGAUGGAGCUGGUGCUCCUUCCCCCUUUUUCGAAGGGGGCUGCUUAUCUGAUCCCGGAGCCAUGCUGGUCUCCGGAAUGGUGUUCGGCCGGGGCCCAGAUUGUUGGGGCUCCCCAUCGUCGGUUAUCAUAGGGGUCGCCUCCCCUAGGUCUUCAGUGACCAAGGUAUUAACCUCGAGCGCUCUCUCGACGGCUUCGUUCGCCCCCUCUUGGCCAGGAGAGGUCCUUCUGGACGACACUUCAGUGUCCUCCAUGGCGAUAGGCGAGGGGGCUCACGACGGCGUGUCACUCUCUGCCAUUUCGGGCGGCAGAUAUAGUCGUUCAAAGCUAAGGUGAGUCUGUUCCAGCUAAUUCCUCAGAUUCCACUUUCCUGUCUGUCCAUGUAAAAAGGAGUCCAGCCCACAAGGAGAGGGAAUCCACGGGAAAGGGAUCUAGCAGCUUCCAUAUCGCCCCCAAAAAAGAACCAAAAAGUUCCAGAGGCAUCUUCCAUUCAUUUCGAUUUAGGUCUUUCUGCACCAUAUUUAGAUCUUCCCUUUCUACGAUCCGGAAUUCCCAGCAAAUCCUUGACUCCUCGAAUACGAUGGGAUUUCACACCUGGCGAAUCUUUCACUCUACCUCCUCUGAAUAAGACUAUAGAAUGUUCUUGCGAAUUAUGACCUUCGCCUGGAAUGUGAGCAAAUAUAUCAUGUCGAUUGCUCAACCGUACUUUUGCUAUCUUACGUAGAGCCGAAUUAGGUUUUUUCGGUGUUCUCGUCGAAACACGCAGGCAUACUCCUUGCUUCUGGGGACAUUGAUCCGAAGCUCGAGUACGGUCCGUGCGCCGUUUUUCUUCUCUACCAUGACGAAUCAAUUGAUUUUUUGUAGGCAUCCCUCUUUCCUAUGUCCUUCCCCCCUUUGCCCUUUCAAAAGUGGUUACUCCCGAUCUGAAGCACCCCUUUUCCAUUCAUAGAGAGAUCCAAUCGUCAAAAUCAAUAAAAAGGCCGUCAUGGACCAAGAUCCAAACAGAUCAAUCUUGUUAGGAGGUACUGCCCAAGGAAAAGAAAAGGUGACUUCCGGAUCAGGGAUAAUAAAUAAAAUAGGAACCGGAUAAAAUCCACUCCUACCAGGGAGGGGAGCCCCAAGUAUUUGUCAGUGAGCGAUUCGGUGACAAUAUUCAGCAGGUUGCAUACCUCUUGUCUGUCCCCCCUAUCUGUCUAAGGGUCCUUGGUAAAACUCUCUUCAUUGAAGGCAGUACGUGGGUAUCCAUCUUAUCUACGGUUCCAUUUUGGAAAGUAAAUCUCUUUUUGUAUAGAUAUAAAAUAGCAAAAGUACGGUUCGGAGUCUUUUUUUCUUUCUUAUUUGAAAUCCAAAUCGAAAUGCCUCAACUUGAUAAAUUAACUUAUUUCUCACAAUUUUUCUCCCCUCUGAUAAUGGAGUACGCGGGACGCGGGGAGGGCUGAAAGGCAAAUAACAAAAUAACUUACAUAGUUAGUACGGGGGUGUUCGGAAUAGCACCUGAACACUCUUGACCCAAAGAUUUGGUCCUUGAAGGAGGUGUUAGUGCGGCGAACCAGACAAUCAGACUAUGUGGCUUUAUCACUCUCACUUAGCCAUAGGAGUUUGACAAUGAGAUUGUAGGCGCAGCCCUUGGUAUUAUUCGAUUAUCCGAAUUUGGGUGCUGUAGACGCCUGACCGGGUGAGAACCGGUCCUUCGCGUAAUGCGGAAAAAAUCGCAAGAGAUUUAUAAUUAGUCACCGAAUAGCUGACCAGCUCUCGCCGCAUCAUGACAGUCAGUUUUCGGCUUUCUCUACUGAGAUGUUUAUCCGGAUGAACCAGAAACACAAUCGCAGUAGUUCUCCCUUUACUACCUUAGCCGAACGAGCGGAACGUAAGGCAGUAACCACAGGAGCCGGGCAACCCAACUAUUGACCAAAGACAUGAUUCGGAGCUGAUGCAUAUAAUGCAAUAUUCAUGACGCCGAAUUGUACUAUAAGAGUGUUCGGACUUAUUUUGUGUACGUGGCUGAAUGGAGCCCCUGGCAAUUUAAAUCGUACUGAGGUGUACGUGGAAGUUAGACAAAAAGAGGGAAAACAGAUUAGGAAAUAAGCCAGUAGGUUGGGCGAAAGAACUAUUUCCAUUAUAGUCUGAUUGAUACGUCAAAACGUAUUUGUACAAAUAAUGCAAUAAGCAUCAAGGCUAUUUUACAUGCCCAGCACAAGGGAAAGCUGUGUACGGGUCCUAGAAAAGGAAGAGGUGGUCUUUAAGGAUCCUUUGAAUACUCCACCGCACGUCCAUGCUGCUUUUCUCCUUGGUGUAUUAUCCUUCGAAAGGAUCGACGAUCGGGUUUUCAUGAGGGGCCUGAAAAAGGGGCCCUUGGUACCGACGAAAGGUGAUGUGGGUUGUAAGGAACCUGAAAAAAUAAAAAUAAGAGAAAGAAAGAAAAAAAAAAGGUUAUGCGUGUCCGUAUAGGGUCGAGCCGUAUUGUGGACUUUAUCUUUACUAUGCCUCCGUCUCCGCCCAUGGUAUUUUUAGCGUAGUUAUGUACGCGUGGUAUAUACGCCGCAAUGCGGUUGGGGCUGAGACGGAGGCCGAAUUGCUAAUCGAGCUCCUAACGAGCUGGAUUGUCGAUCUGCGGGGUAGUCCGGACUCGUUUGACAGUAUCCGGGGGUUUGACUGCCGAUGUUGUAUUUGGCUUGAUAAGGCCGCCCUGUACCUCUGCUGGGAGGGCCGCGGUGUGUUCUUCAGUACGGAGGAAGCGCUCUAUGUUUCCAUUGACUGUUAUAACACUGCGUGGUCCGGGCAUCUUGAGUUUGACAUAGGCAUAGUGCGGGAUCACAUUAAAGCGAGUGAACACGGUUCGUCCGAGUAGUGCAUGAUAGCCACUGCGGAAAGGGACGGUGUCGAAGAUCACGUCUUCGCUUCGGAAGUUGUCUGGCGAGCCGAAGACGACUUCCAAUGUGAUUGAGCCCGUACAGCGGGCCUCUACACGAGGUAUUACUCCUUUAAAGGUAGUCUUGGUGGGCUUGAUUCUUGAUGGAUCAAUACCCAUUUUGUGGACUGUGUCCUAAUAGAGCAGGUUAAGGCUACUGCCGCCAUCCAUGAGGACUCGCAUGAGGUGAAAUUCAUCAAUAAUUGGGUCGAGGACCAGAGCGGCCGAACCUCCAUGACGGAUACUGGUCGGUUGGUCUCUGCGAUCGAAAGUGAUCGGACAGGCUGACCAUGGGUUGAAUUUUGGGGCGACUAGCUCCAUUGCAUAGACGUCCCUUAAUGCGCGCUUGCGCUCCCACUUGGGGAUGUGAGUGGCGUAUAUCAUAUUCACCGUUUUGACCUCGGGGGGAAAUUUCUUCUGCCCCCUUUACUCGGUGGGCGAGGCUCCUCAUCGUCGUCCUCGCUGUGCGACCCUUACUCCUUAUGUUCGGUAUUUAAUUUACCGGCCUGCCUGAAGACCCAACAACUUCUGUUGGUAUGGUUGGCAGGCUUGUCGGGGGUGCCGUGAAUCUGGCAAGGUCGAUCAAGUAUUCGGUCCAAGCUAGAUGAACCGUCUUUGUUUCUUUUGAAUGGCUUCUUCCGCUGACCGGAUUUGGAGCCACUGAAUCCGGCGUUGACCGCCGUGUCUUCGGUAUUGUCGUUGUUGCUUCGACGCUUGUGUUUGUUGCGUCGGGGCCUGCCGUUGUUGUUUCUGGCCUCAUAAGUGCCGGGGUCGCUGGUACUAUUGCUGCUACGGGCUAGCCAGCUAUCCUCACCCGCGCAAAAGCGGGUCAUGAGUGCUGUGAGGGCUGCCAUGGACUUCGGCUUCUCUUGGCCAUUGUGUCGGGCGAGCCAUUCAUCGCGGAUGCUGUGUUUAAAGGCUGUUAAGGCUUCGGCGUCCGGACAGUCGACAAUCUGGUUCUUUUUAAUUAGGAACCUGGUCCAGAAUUUCCUAGCCGACUCUCCGGGCUGCUGGACCAUGUGAGUGAGGUCAUCGGCGUCCGGAGGCCGGAUAUAAGUGCCUUGGAAGUUGUCUCUAAAGGCAUCUUCCAAGUCUUCCCAGCUUCCAAUAGAGUUUUCUGGGAGGCUAUUUNNNNNNNNNNNNNNNNNNNNNNNNNNNNNNNNNNNNNNNNNNNNNNNNNNNNNNNNNNNNNNNNNNNNNNNNNNNNNNNNNNNNNNNNNNNNNNNNNNNNNNNNNNNNNNNNNNNNNNNNNNNNNNNNNNNNNNNNNNNNNNNNNNNNNNNNNNNNNNNNNNNNNNNNNNNNNNNNNNNNNNNNNNNNNNNNNNNNNNNNNNNNNNNNNNNNNNNNNNUGUGGAGAAGAAAAUCUUCAAUCCACACUGCGGGAUCUGUUGUGCCAUCGUAUGAUUCGAUGUUUACGGGUUUAAACCCUUCUGGGAACUGGUGCUCCAUUACCUCGUCGGUGAAGUAUAGGGGGUGUGCGGCGCCUCUAUAUCAGGACACGUCUCGGCGCAGUUCGGAUGAAGUCCAUAUGCGAUUUUCGGCCCGGGUGUAGUUAUGCUUGUCACGCCAGGCCUGAUAGCCGUCUUCUCGCGCUGGGGCACGCCUCCGUGAUCCGUAGAUUGAUAUGGUCUGCCCGGCUCUAUUUUCCAGGUCAUGUCGGAGGUCAUAUGUGUAUCCUGGAGCUGCUGUUUCUCGGCCUCUACGGCGAGGUGGUGCAGGCUGGUGUUCGGCUUGAGUUGCCUCUUUGUCCCGGCCACAUGGUGGUCGAUCAAGUCUGUCAGCAUCAUGCAUUGGCGGUAUGGGCUCCGGGGCCUCAUCAUCGAAUUGAGGUAGUAGUUUGCGCUUCGGGUAACUCUUAGUUGGGUGCGCAAGGCCGUAUUCCUCGGCCGCCAGGACGUUAGUCCAUCUGUCAUUGAGUAAAUCCUGAUCGGCUUGAAGCCACUGCUGCUUCUUUUUCAGGUUUCUUGCAGUGGCGAUUAGCCGUCGCUUGAAGCAUCCUUGUUCGAGGGGUUCCUCCGGCACGAUGAAAUCUUCGUCGCCAAGGCUCACGUCUUCUUCGGAGAUCGGUAGGUAAUUACUGUCCUCCGAGCCCUCAUUCUCGACAGGGUCGUCGGGGUUAACCUGCCCUUCCUCCCAAUCAUCCUGUUUGGAUGUUGGCUCGAUAGAGGCUUCGGGGUCUUCGGCGUUUUCUGGAGUAUUAUUGUCUCCGGUGCUGGUGUUACUAUCUUUUUCGUGACGCGAUUUAGAGCGGCGCCGCUGACGUCGACGCUUUGGUGGUAUCUCAGGAGGUUCAUCCUCGACUGGAUCCUUCUCAUCGUCGUCGUCGUCUUCUUUGGGUGUGUCCACCAUGUACACGUCGUAUGAGGAAGUGGCCGUCCAUCGUUCGGUGAACGGCGGGUUUUGGCCUUGUUCGUCUCCGGCAUCGUCAUCCAUACCGUCGAUGUCUUCGGAAGCGUAGUCCAGCAUGUCGGUUAGAUCUUCGACAGUGGCUAUGAAGUGGGCGGUGGGUGGGACGUAAAAUUCCUCGCUCUCGGCCCCUAGCGUGGGGUGGGCGUAGCUCGGCAGUGAUUCUUCUGGAAUGGUGAGGGAUCACAUUAAGUCCAGGGCCUCGUUUAAGAGUGAGGUUUGGACGGGGAAGCGAGAGUCCGCGGGGUCGGGCAGAACAAAAGUUUCCUGGCCGAGCUCACAUAACACGGACCUCGAGAGUUCGGAGCUGGUGUCCGGAGGUGAGUCCGGCUUUAUGAUGAUAGAGGGAGCGCGGCGUAACUCCGGGCAUGCCGGUGACGCGGUCCCCUCCGGUUCUCCGAUGACAAGCUCUGUAGCUGCAGAGAGUCCGGCGGGCUCUAGACUCCCGUCUUCGGACCUCGUGAUGUGCUCUGAAUCUAAGGCCAGAGCGGUGGUUGGGGCCGCGAACCCUUGAAGGUCAAGUCUCCUCGGACAUCAGCGACAUAGUUCAGAUUUCCAAAACUAAUCUGAUGACCAGGGGCGUAGCUGUCGAUCUGCUCCAGAUGGCCAAUCGAGUUGGCCCGCAGUGCGAAGUCGUCGAAUACGAAAAUUUGGCCGGGGAGAAAAGUCUCCUUCAAGGCGGCCUUGUUGUAGAUGAUCGAUGGAACCAUCGAGCCUUCUAACGACGGCACAGUGGAAAUCUCAACGAAAGCACCAAUGUCGGUGUCAAAACCGGUAGAUCUCGGGUAGGGGGUCCCGAACUGUGUGUCUGAGGAUCAAAGGUAACAGGAGGCGGGGGACACAAUGUUUACCCAGGUUCGGGCCCUCUUAAUGGAGGUAAUACCCUACUUCCUGCUUGAUUGACUAUGGUGAGUAUAGGGGUUACAAGAGUUGAUCUACCUCGAGAUCGUAAUGGCUAAACCCUAGAUGUCUAGCCUCUAUGAUUAUGAUUGCCUCUACGGACUAAACCCUCCGGUUUAUAUAGACACCGAAGGGGGCUAGGGUUGUACAGAGUCAGUUUACAGAGAAAGGAAUCUUCAUGUCCGCACGCCAAGCUUGUCAUCCACGCAAAGAAGAGUCCCUUCCGGAUACGGGGGAAGGCCUUCUAUCUUGUAUCUUCAUGGCCCACCAGUCCGGCCCAUGUCACAUAGCCCGGACGCCCGAGGACCCCAUAAUCCAGGACUCCAUCACUCCUUGCCUUUCUUCUUCUUGGUUUUCUUCUCCGGCGCCGGGACCAGCAUCUUCGUUAGCUGGGGUGUGGCCGGGUCCUCAGGCAGCGGUGCCGGACAGUUGAUCUGCUAUGCCUUUGCCGUCCAGACCUAUAAGGAAAGCGGGCAAUAUAAUUUCUAUUUUAUCUGAAAUAUUGACCGGAUAGGUCUUCAGAAAGAUUAUGCUUACCGUCGUGGCCGGGUUCUCGAUGUCGAGUCCGAUGUCCUCGGUCUUCUUCGGCCACUUUUUCUGAGCCUUGAAGAGCUGCUUCCAUAUAUCUUCGUGCGUGGUGCCGAAGAAGCGCUUCAGGGUCCGUGGCUCCUCCGGAUUGAACUCCCACAUGGGGGAGGCCCGGGGCUGGCAGGGAAGGGUGCAGCGGAAGAGCAUCACUUCACGUUUGUGAGACUGGUGUUCUCACCCAACAUGUCGGAGAUGCGCUUCUGGAGCAUCUUCACCUCCAAUUUGGACCCCCAAUCAAGGCCCUUGGCGGUCCAUGAGGUGAGUCUCAUGGGGGGUCCGGAUCUGAAAUCAGGUGUGGCCGCCCAGGUGGCGUCGCAGGGUUCGGUGAUAUAGAACCAUUCCUGCUGCCAUACCUUGACUGUCUCCACGAAAGCCCCUUUUGGCCAGAUUGCGUUGGGGAGCUUGCUUACCAUAGCUCCGCCGCAAUCCGCAUGCUGUUCGUCGACCACCUUCGGCUUCAGAUUGAAGACUUUGAGCCACAGGAAGGCGUGGGGGGAUGCGGAGGAGAGCGUCACACACGACUAUAAAAGCCGAUAUGUGGAGGAAGGAAUUUGGGGCUAGAUCGUGGAAAUCUAGCCCGUAGUAAAACAUAAGACCCCGGACGAAGGGGUGGAGAGGAAAUCCUAGCCCCCGAAGGAAAUGGGGGAUGAACACAACCCUCUGACCAGGCUCUGGAGUAGGAACAACCUGGUCUUUAUCUGGAAUCCUAUGCGCGAUGUCCGCGGACAGAUAGCCCGCGCUCCAGAGAUCUUUGACGUCCUUUUCGGUGAUGGUGGAGGCCUCCCACUUGCCCUUGGAGCCGGACCCGGCCAUUGCUGAGAAGGGUGGCAGCGGUGGAGGAGGUCGGAGUUGUGGGCGCUGGAGCUUGGAGAUUGGAAGACAUAAGCUAGAGGAAGGCGUGAAGAAAAAGGAGGGGUCUUUACCCUUUUAUGGACGGUGAAAAUGCCAAGCGUCCCCCUCUUAAGCCAUAAAACUCGCUUGCUCCCAACGAGAUCGUGCGUAAGGUGCGGUUGGAUUACCCAAAUCAUAUUGAUGAGAAUCCCGUAAUGGGCGGGCAUGAUCAUUGUUUUGACAAGACGUGCCAAUGGAGGCUAAGCCUCGAAACACGAAGCUAAGAGCGUGAAAACGGUUCGAAGUGUUGAAAAGUCAAGUGUGACGCUUCGUCAGAAGAGUUGUCAGUAAAGGCACUGUUUCUAUUUGGACGCCUUGCCUUUGUGGCUAAGGGUUGUAUUAAUUAUGCAGAACCGGAUACAAUCCCUUUAUGUAGGAGGCCUAAUUAAAAUAUUCAGGAGGAGGAACCCGCCUUGCAAUGCCGAAGACAAUCCACGUGUCGAACACAUCGUCAUCGAAGACUAGUUCUGGGGCUACUGAGGGAGUCCUGCAUUAGGGGGUCCUCCGGUGUCCGGUCUAUUCGAUAUGGGCCGGACUGAUGGGCCGUGAAGACAAAGCAGAAGAUUAUCCCCCGUGUCCGGGUAGUUCUCCUAUGUGCGUGGAUGGCAAGUUUGGUGUCCGGAUGUACUAUUUCCUUCCUCUGCAAACCGACUCUAUACAACCCUAGGCCCCUCCGGUGUGUAUAUAAACCGGAGGGUUAGGUCCGUAGAAAGAGAGAGGAAUCAUAGGCUAAACAGCUAGGGUUUAGCCAUUACGAUCUCGAGAUAGUUCAACUCUUGUAACCCUUAUACACACACCGAAUAUAAUCAAGCAGGACGUAGGGUUUUACCUCCUUUAAGAGGGUCCGAACAUGGGUAAACAUCGUGUCCCUAUUGUCCCUUGUUACCAUCGAUCCUCAGACGCACAACUUGGGACCCCCUACCCGAGAUCUGCCGGUUUUGACACCGACACGGGUCUCGUCAAAGGUGAAAUUCCUUUCAUCCUAAGCCCAAAACAGAGGAAGACUCGUACUAAGACGAAGCGGUGGAAAGAGGAUAAAGUGAGUAGAGAUCAGGCGGCUACCGUUAAAGCCAAUUGAACGGUGUGCGUGCGACCGGCGCAAGCCCUAGCCGGUCACCCGGCGCCUAGCAGCGUAAUAUCUAGAAAUGUGAAAGAUUGAUCAUAUGACACAUGUGGUAAGCAAUUCAAAAAAUUCAGAAAAACAAUAGAAAUGUGAAAGAUUGACUUCUCUAUAUAUAUGUAUGUGCUCUUGUGCGACUUUCUAAUGGGUAAUGUAUUUUCAUAAAACAAUGAAAUGCUAAACCUAAUAGCACCAGUUUUAAAUAAAUGAUAGCUUUUAUCCAUUUGUCAACUCUUUCCUUUUGCGCUCUCCUCUUCUGAGUCUCCUCCCAUGAUGGGUUCACGGCACGCAGGCACCAUCUAUACAACAGAUUGAUUUUUGCUUGAACGGCUAUAUAACAUAGUACUGUACAACGGAUUGUUUUGCAUCGUCAACUCUCCACAUGCAUUUUAAUGUCCGCGAACAUGUUUCUCCAUUCUCAAUAUUAAUCGCUCCACGCAACGUCUAGAAAAGAAACCCGUCCGAAUCGCGCAUUGACGCUCCUUCGGCCGAUCGGCUCCAGGCAUCCGCUCCAAUACAAUUACAAAAUAAAAUAAAAUAGUACUCUUAAAAAAAAAUCGAAGCAACGUCCAAAUUUUUCGAAGGACCACUUCCAAUACUUAACACAAAAAAAAACUCGAACCAACGUCUCUACUUGCAACUUGCGAGCAUUAUUUUAGCAACAACAAAAGAAAACACCACGACGCCCAGACCACCUCCUCCCUACCCUACCCCUUGAGGCCUUGACCUAUGGCGAAUAUAUGAAAUCGAAACCUUAGCCGGCCGGCGCAUAUCACAUCAUUGCAACCAAACGGGAAUUUCACAGCUCACUCUUGUAAACCCAUAUGCGCAAAGAUCAUGCGUGUCCGAUCCAGGUCACUUCUUCACGUGGACGCGCCGGGGAUGUGCUGUCCGGUGCGCCACCAGUGCGCGGCAGCUAGAGAUAGCGAGGCCACCGCCAUGGAACGGGAAGCACAGACAGGACGAGAAGGCGAAGAGGAGCCAUUUCUGUCACCCGACUCCAUUAUAAGUAUGUCGAGGACUUGGGUCUAGAUUGGGUGAGCAGCUAAGGACGUCCAGGCAGUGGCCAACAUGGGGCUGGGGCUGGCUGGUUCGUCUCGUCGGGGAAACAAGUCAAAAGGUCGACCUAGCUUGCUUUUAUCUCCCCUUGGUCCUUGGAGUUGUACCAACUUUUUGAUAAUUGGUCUCUCUUUUUUCCUUUCCUUGUUUCUAAUGGUAAGCACGUCACAAUACGAGUAAAUUUGUAAUUCACUUUUGAACGGUUACUGCUACUGUCGUGAGUGAGAGAUAUAUGCUAUGUACUGAACUCAGAACAUUUGAAAUGAUCCCUCAAAAACAAAAAAGAACAUUUGAAAUGAAAGUGGAAUAAACAUUGGUCCUGUUUGGAUAGUCUAACUCAGUUAGAGGUUAGAGCUACAUUCUAACCCUGAGUCUCCUCCCAUGAUGGGUUAGAGGUUAGAGCUAGAUUCUAACCCUGAACUAACUCUAACCAAAGAGGUGUUUGGAUGACACGGUUAUAUUGACAAUAAAUGUUCUUCCUCAAUCAUUUGGCUACUUCGGACCCUACUUACUGCCGGAUUUGGCAAAGUGAGCCCUGGCCGAGGCAGACGGGGACGCGCCCGGCAAGGAGCCGCGCUGGCCUCUCGCGCAGCCUGCCGACCGAAUGCGCCGUCCCUGCGCAAGGAGUCGCGCUGGCCGAGGCCGACGGGGACGGGCCGCGCAAGGAGCCGCGACUGCUCACCAGCGGACGAACGGGCUGCGGGGAGACGAGGGGGUAUGCUGCGAGGAGAGUGAGAGAAAAAGGUAUUUUUUUAGUGGUCCCAAAAAAACUAACCCAAAUAAGCACCUCUUGGAUGGGUUAGAUUUCUUGGAUGGGUUAGAUGCAUCUAACCCAAACUGGGCAGCCGACAGGGCUGCCCGAGCAGCGCACAUUGACCAGCCUAGCUCUUGGCUUCGUGUAAUUCAUUCUUAUUGCUGCUGCACACCACAGAUACCAUUACUAGUAGUAGUAUAAAUUAUAAAACACUGCACAAUUGCGUCUGUUUAUUACUGUACGUACUACACAUGGAGGUUGACGCGGCAUGGUAUUCCAGCUGGUUUGACACGCGACGGCUGGUCUGUACUGUCGGUUCGCCGGCGUACAGUACCCGUACAAAACCGGGCUACAGACUGGCAAUCUGAAUUCAGCCAGCCACAAACGGUGCAGACGACGACGAUGACGUCUUGUUGUCGCACUGCUCGCCGAGUUUGACGAUCCCAUCAGCGUCAUCGAACUGCACACGUAUAAACGCAACGCUACGUACAUGACCUCUGGGCCGGGCCGGGUCUCUCUCCGUCGCCGUGUUACUUCGAAAGCACUCUCCGAUAAAGAAAGAGGGAUGUCUCCUCCGACCUACCACGCCAUACCAAGACCAGUAGCCGUAGCCGUAGCCGGGUUUCGUCCAUUCACUCACAGCAUCUCGAGUCGUGCUCCCAACAAGGCCCCCCAGCGAUUUUUCGGCCGCCGACGCUAAAAAAUCGGCCCAGUCACGCCUCAGGGGCCUUUUUUCGCCGGCUCGGGGCGAAAUUGGCGCCGGUGGACCCAACCCGAACCCGGCGCGCUGGGGGGCGCUCGGGGGCGCCGGGCGAAUCGUUUUUGACGCGAAAGCGCCGCGGGCCAGCCGCGUCAGCGACACCGCCCGCCUCGUUUUCUCCCGACGCCUCGGUUUCCCGCGGAGAAUCAAUGCCAAGGCUGCCGCCGGUCAGCUUUGCCAUUAAUUCCUCACGGGCGGCGCGUUCACGGGGCGGCGCGCCGACGCCUCCCCUCCCUCGGACGCGUACACACGGACGCGGCGCGGCUAUAUAUGGCCUCGCUCGCCUGUGAUGAGUGCCGCCGCCGAGCUCUUCUCCCCAGCCCUCCCUCUCCCGAGCGCCGCCGCCGAUCUCUUCUCCCCCAGCCACUCCAUCUCCCGAGCGCCGCUGCCGAUCUCUUCUCCCCAGCCACUCCAUCUCCCCGAUGGCCGAGCGUUUCCCCGAAGACGAGGCGGCGGCCAACGGCUUCGGCCGCCGUUCGCUCCGCGAACAGGAGUCCUGGCUCUUGUUCCAGCCGAACAUCUCGGCGCCGCCGGACAUGCGCGCCGGGCCGACGGGCUGGAGGCUCAUGUGACGCCCCCGAUUCAAUCGUACACUAAUCAUGAACGUAAAUAUGUACGAUCAAGAUCAGGGACUCACGGGAAGAUAUCACAACACAACUCUACAACAUAAAUAAGUCAUACAAGCAUCAUAAUACAAGCCAGGGGCCUCGAGGGCUCGAAUACAAGUGCUCGAUCAUAGACGAGUCAACGGAAGCAACAAUAUCUGAGUACAGACAUAAGUUAAACAAGUUUGCCUUAAGAAGGCUAACACAAAAGUAGCAACGAUCGAAAAGGCAAGGCCUCCUGCCUGGGACCUCCUAACUACUCCUCGAAGCCGAACUCCAUGUAGAAUCAUCCUCGGGAUCUCUAGCUCCUGGACUCCAGCAUCUGGUUGCGACAACCAGGUAUAGAAAGGGGAAAAGAGGGAGAAAAGCAACCGUGAGUACUCAUCCAAAGUACUCGCAAGCAAGGAGCUACACUACAAAUGCAUGGGUAUAUGUGUAAAGGGCCAUAUCGGUGGACUGAACUGCAGAAUGCCAGAAUAAGAGGGGGAUAGCUAAUCCUGUCGAAGACUACGCUUCAGGCCACCUCCAUCUUGCAGCAUGUAGAAGAGAGUAGAUGGUAAGUUCACCAAGUAGCAUCGCAUAGCAUAAUCCUACCCGGCGAUCCCCUCCUCGUCGCCCUGUUAGAGAGCGAUCACCGGGUUGUAUCUGGCACUUGGAAGGGUGUGUUUUAUUAAAUAUCCGGUUCUAGUUGUCAUAAGGUCAAGGUACAACUCCGGGUCGUCCUUUUACCGAGGGACGCGGCUAUUCGAAUAGAUAAACUUCCCUGCAGGGUGCACCACAUAACCCAACACGCUCGAUCCCAUUUGGCCGGACACACUUUUCUGGGUCAUGCCCGGCCGCGGAAGAUCAACACGUCGCAGCCCCACCUAGGCACAACAGAGAGGUCAGCACGCCGGUCUAAAUCCUAUGGUGCAGGGGUCUGGGCCCAUCGCCCAUUGCACACCUGCACGUUGCGAGGGCGGCCGGAAGCAGACCUAGCCUAGCAGGCAUUCUAGUCCAAUCCGGCGCGCGCCGCUCCGUCGCUGACGUCACGAAGGCUUCGGCUGAUACCACGACGUCGAGUGCCCAUAACGGUUCCCGCGUAGUUGGUUAGUGCGUAUAGGCCAGUGGCCAGACUCAGAUCAAAUACCAAGAUCUCGUUAAGCGUGUUAUUUUUAAGUAUCCGCGGACGCCGACCAGGGCCAGGCCCACCUCUCUCCUAGGUGGUCUCAACCUGCCAUGUCGCUCCGCCACAAAGUAACAGUCGGGGGCCGUCAGGAACCCAGGCCCACCUCUACCGGGAUGGAGCCACCUGUCCUUUCAGCCCCCUCAUCAGAAUCACUUGCGGGUACUCAACGAGCUGAUCCGACUUUAGUCACCACAUGUGUCAUGUAUAUAAAGUAUAAAGUAUAUACCCGUGAUCACCUCCCUAGUGAUCACGGCCCGAUAGUAUAGUAUGGCAGACAGACAAGAGUGUAGGGCCACUGAUGGAACACUAGCAUCCUAUACUAAGCAGUAGGAUAGCAGGUAAGGGUAACAACUGUAGCAACAAUGACAGGCUAUGCAGCAGAAUAGGAUUAACCGAAAGCAGUAACAUGCUACACUCUUCUAAUGCAAGAAAUAUAGAGAAGAAUAGGCGAUAUCUGGUGAUCAAGGGCGGGGCUUGCCUGGUUGCUCUGGCAAGAAGGGUUCGUCAUCGAUGUAGUCGAUCACAGGGGUACCAGCAGCGGUCUCGGGGUCUAUCGGAAAGAAGUAACGGAGGGGGGACACAAUAAAUAACAGAGCAAUGAAAGCAUCACAAAGCAUAACAUGGCAAUACGCGGUGCUAGAGGUGAUCUAACGCGGCAGGAGGUGAUACCGGCAAAGAGGGGAAACAUCCGGGAAAGUAUUCCCGGUGUUUCGCGUUUUCGGACAGAUGAACCGGAGGGGGAAAGUUGCGUGUUCGAUAUGCUAGGGGUGUGUGGAUGACGAACAUGCUGCGUAUCUGGAUUCGUCUCGUCGUUCUGAGCAACUUUCAUGUACAAAGUAUUUUCAUCCGAGGUACGAUUUAUUUUAUAUUAAUUUUCAAAGUUUAAAAUCAUUUUUAGAAUUAACAAAAUUAAUUUAAUUCGAAACUGGGUUUAUGACAUCAGCAUGAUGUCAUGCUGACGUCAGCAGUCAACAGGGGUUGACUGGUCAACCUGACCAGUGGGUCCCACUGGUCAGUGACACAUUUUAAUUAAACAUAUUAAUUAACCUAAUCAGGAUUAAUUAGGGGUGGGCCCCACUGUCAUUGACUACUUAAUUAGGUUAAUUAGGUAACUAAUGUUUAAUUAGUUUAAUUGGUUGUUUAGUUUAAUUAAUCAAAAUUAAUUAAGUUAAUUAAUUAAUUAUUAUUAUUAUUAUUAUUAUUUAUAUAUUUUUUAUAUAUUUUUUAUUUCUUUUUUUUAUAAACGUUCUCAGGGUUCCGGGCCCCGGCUGUCAGUGGCCAAUGGGCCACUGGAACGGGCGCGCUGGUUAACGGGCAUAGCCCGAACAGGCGCAUGCCCGAGGGGCGCUGGGCACGCACGGCGCUCGCCGGCGGCCAGGACCAGGGGAGACGGCGGAGGGGUGGUCGCGAACCGGCUGGGCGGAGCGGGCGUAGGGGUGUGCGGCUGGAGGUGGUGGUGGCAGGGGGAGGCGCUCGGCGACGAGGCCAGGGCGGAGCGGCGCGUGCGGGACGAAGGCGAUGGCCGGAGCNNNNNNNNNNNNNNNNNNNNNNNNNNNNNNNNNNNNNNNNNNNNNNNNNNNNNNNNNNNNNNNNNNNNNNNNNNNNNNNNNNNNNNNNNNNNNNNNNNNNNNNNNNNNNNNNNNNNNNNNNNNNNNNNNNNNNNNNNNNNNNNNNNNNNNNNNNNNNNNNNNNNNNNNNNNNNNNNNNNNNNNNNNNNNNNNNNNNNNNNNNNNNNNNNNNNNNNNNNNNNNNNNNNNNNNNNNNNNNNNNNNNNNNNNNNNNNNNNNNNNNNNNNNNNNNNNNNNNNNNNNNNNNNNNNNNNNNNNNNNNNNNNNNNNNNNNNNNNNNNNNNNNNNNNNNNNNNNNNNNNNNNNNNNNNNNNNNNNNNNNNNNNNNNNNNNNNNNNNNNNNNNNNNNNNNNNNNNNNNNNNNNNNNNNNNNNNNNNNNNNNNNNNNNNNNNNNNNNNNNNNNNNNNNNNNNNNNNNNNNNNNNNNNNNNNNNNNNNNNNNNNNNNNNNNNNNNNNNNNNNNNNNNNNNNNNNNNNNNNNNNNNNNNNNNNNNNNNNNNNNNNNNNNNNNNNNNNNNNNNNNNNNNNNNNNNNNNNNNNNNNNNNNNNNNNNNNNNNNNNNNNNNNNNNNNNNNNNNNNNNNNNNNNNNNNNNNNNNNNNNNNAGGUUAGGGUUUGGCUGGGGGGUGAGGGGAUAAGGUGUGGCCGGCUGGGCCUGGUGGGUUGGCCUAGUGGGUUGGCCUAGUGGGGUUGAUGGCCUGCUGGGCCGGAGCCCGGGGGGUUCUUUUCCUUCUUCUUUUUUUUUUGUUAGUUUCUUUUCUGUUUUUGUCUUUGUUUCCUAUUGUUUUAGUUUUUUGUAAAAUAUAUACUUGGCAUCUAAUUUAGUAAUUCAAUUUAGGCCAUUGUCACAAAAAGUCUAGUCCUCAAAUAAUUUAGUUUGACAUUUUAUUAAUUACAAAAGGUAUUUAAAUAAUUAUUUAUGCUGUUGUUUUAUUCAUCUGAUAGUAUUUAAACAUUUUAUAAAGGUGUGGUUUCUCCACCAUAAUUACCUAUGCAAUAUUUGGUUCACUCCGGACAUUUUAGUUUUAAUAUUCGAAAACUUUUAUUGUUUGACUUGAUUUCGAAUUUUGAAUUCGAACGGGAUUUGAACCAGAGUGAGUUUAGUAACAAUAACAGUGGUGAUGUGGCAUCAUUGAGGGUUACGGUAGCUUAAUUAUCCGGGCAUCACAAUUCUCCUCCACUACAAGAAAUCUCGUCCUAAGAUUUAGGAGGCGGAGUAAGGGGGAAGAUCUGGUUACGAAUUCUAACGAGUCUUCUUGGUCUUGGUUACUCUUCUCGAAGAGGUCAAUUCAUUACGUUGAUGUCUUCAUUUCUCUGCUUCGGGAACUCCAUCGUACUUACGAAAGAAUAAAGGGUGGGUAGCCCGGGAGAACGGACCUCUACAAGGUUGACUAUCUGGUCGAUAACAUCGGGGGAAGGUGGAAAGUAACUCUCGAAUUGAAACUUAAGAAAAUAUCAAUAGUAAAUAAAGGAGGUAUCGUGGGAAGUUUCGAGCGGGCAGGCAAUCGCCCAAUGCCUGAAACAGAGUGUGAAAGGGGUUCAAAGCAAUCGGAAUAAGUAUUAUGUCUGAUGCCAAUAUAGAUCAGUAGGACGGUGGUCCGUGAAUUACAUAUGAGGCCACGCGCGAUGAAUAAAUUUGGGAACAGGGGGUGCACAGGAGAGUCAGGUUUUGAUCCUAUGGAACUGUGGGUUAUGGGCCCACCAUGUGGUUAAAGUAGGAAGGGCGGUGACAUCUUGCACGAUCAUGAUAGCAAGGCAUGUCAGAGGGUAGCCUGUCAGUUAUAUGUCAGCAACAUCGUCGGUACCAAGGGCGAGGGACGAAGAGAACCAUUUUCCUGCUCGUUGAAACGAGGCGGACCAAUAGGCAAGGUUCUCGUCCAUCGGUGGUUACCGGAAUGUCAUCAACAAUAGUAAGAGGGUCUUACUGACAGAGUUGUACACCGAGAUGUUUGCACAAGCAGGGAAUUAUUACUGCUUAUAUCAUAUAGAUCAUAGAAACGGUUUAAACAAACCAAUGGAAAGGGAAAAGUGUCUAUCAGAUUUAAUCAGAACAAUGGAAAGAAAAAUGUGUUUAAACACAUAAUUCAGGGGUAUAUCCUUCCCAAGGACAAGCAGAGCAUGAUAUCCAUGACAAGGUAUAACGUAGAAAACCAUUUAGGUUAGGGGAGAGGAAGUUCAUGACAUUACCCAUACAAUGAUGUUUGGAUAAUUUGAUAAAGAAAAUCUAGCAUUUGUGCUUCAAAUGUUCAUAUUGAAGAUCGGAGUACCACAUACAUGCUUCGAGAUAGCAUUGACAUGGUUUUCAAGCAAAGGUCAGACUCUCGAUACACAAAGGAUUCAUCAGGAACAACUGGUAGAAUAAGUCUUACAAUUUCCUCAUGGAAGAAUGGAUAACCUUGCCAAAAGCAAGCUAUAACAAUAGGCCCUCCGGCCAGGUGUACUCGGCAUGACACCACCUUACCGGGUCAUAUAACGAACAAUGUUAUAACUCUUGAAAUUAUGUUCCAACCAUCAUAUCUGACCGAGAUUCAGAUCUGGUUGGUGUCAGGAUUGUUGGAAAUAUGCCCUAGAGGCAAUAAUAAAUGGUUAUUAUUAUAUUUCUUUGUUCAUGGUAAUUGUCUAUUGUUCAUGCUAUAUUGUAUUGUCCGGAAAUCGUAAUACAUGUGUGAAUACAUAGACCACAACGUGUCCCUAGUAAGCCUCUAGUUGACUAGCUCGUUGAUCAACAGAUAGUCAUGGUUUCCUGACUAUGGACAUUGGAUGUCAUUGAUAACGGGAUCACAUCAUUAGGAGAAUGAUGUGAUGGACAAGACCCAAUCCUAAGCAUAGCAUAAAAGAUCGUGUAGUUUCGUUUGCUAGAGCUUUUCCAAUGUCAAGUAUCUUUUCCUUAGACCAUGAGAUCGUGCAACUCCUGGAUACCGUAGGAGUACUUUGGGUGUGCCAAACGUCACAACGUAACUGGGUGACUAUAAAGGUGCACUACGGGUAUCUCCGAAAGUGUCUGUUGGGUUGGCACGGAUCGAGACUGGGAUUUGUCACUCCGUGUGACGGAGAGGUAUCUUUGGGCCCACUCGGUAAUGCAUCAUCAUAAUGAGCUCAAUGUGACUAAGGCGUUAGUCACGGGAUCAUGCAUUGCGGUAUGAGUAAAGAGACUUGCCGGUAACGAGAUUGAACAAGGUAUUGGGAUACCGACGAUCGAAUCUCGGGCAAGUAACAUACCGAUUGACAAAGGGAAUUGCAUACGGGAUUGAUUGAAUCCUCGACACCGUGGUUCAUCUGAUGAGAUCAUCGUGGAACAUGUGGGAGCCAACAUGGGUAUCCAGAUCCCGCUGUUGGUUAUUGACCGGAGAGGCGUCUCGGUCAUGUCUGCAUGUCUCCCGAACCCGUAGGGUCUACACACCUAAGGUUCGGUGACGCUAGGGUUGUAGAGAUAUGUGUAUGCGGAAACCCGAAAGUUGUUCGGAGUCCCGGAUGAGAUCCCGGACGUCACGAGAGGUUCCGGAAUGGUCCGGAGGUGAAGAAUUAUAUAUAGGAAGUCAAGUUUCGGCCACCGGGAAAGUUUCGGGGGUUACCGGUAUUGUACCGGGACCACCGGAAGGGUCCCGGGGGUCCACCGGGUGGGGCCUGUUGGAAAUAUGCCCUAGAGGCAAUAAUAAAUAGGUUAUUAUUAUAUUUCCUUGUUCAUGAUAAUCGUUUAUUAUCCAUGCUAGAAUUGUAUUGAUAGGAAACUCAGAUACAUGUGUGGAUACAUAGACAACACCAUGUCCCUAGUAAGCCUCUAGUUGACUGGCUCGUUGAUCAAUAGAUGGUUACGGUUUCCUGACCAUGGACAUUGGAUGUCGUUGAUAACGGGAUCACAUCAUUAGGAGAAUGAUGUGAUGGACAAGACCCAAUCCUAAGCCUAGCACAAGAUCGUGUAGUUCGUUUGCUCAGAGCUUUUCUAAUGUCAAGUAUCACUUCCUUAGACCAUGAGAUUGUGCAACUCCCGGAUACCGUAGGAAUGCUUUGGGUGUGCCAAACGUCACAACGUAACUGGGUGGCUAUAAAGGUGCACUACGGGUAUCUCCGAAAGUGUCUGUUGGGUUGGCACGAAUCGAGACUGGGAUUUGUCACUCUGUGUAAACGGAGAGGUAUCUCUGGGCCCACUCGGUAGGACAUCAUCAUUAUGUGCACAAUGUGACCAAGGAGUUGAUCACGGGAUGAUGUGAGUUACGGAACGAGUAAAGAGACUUGCCGAUAACGAGAUUGAACAAGGUAUAGGGAUACCGACGAUCGAAUCUCGGGCAAGUAACAUACCGAUGGACAAAGGGAAUUGCAUACGGGAUUGAUUGAAUCCCCGACAUCGUGGUUCAUCCGAUGAGAUCAUCGUGGAACAUGUGGGAGCCAACAUGGGUAUCCAGAUCCCGCUGUUGGUUAUUGACCGGAGAACGUCUCGGUCAUGUCUGCAUGGUUCCCGAACCCGUAGGGUCUACACGCUUAAGGUUCGAUGACGCUAGGGUUAUAGGGAAAGUAUGUACGUGGUUACCGAAUGUUGUUCGGAGUCCCGGAUGAGAUCCCGGACGUCACGAGGAGUUCCGGAAUGGUCCGGAGGUAAAGAUUUAUAUAUGGGAAGUCCUGUUUUGGUCACCGGAAAAGUUUCGGGUGAAAUCGGUAAUGUACCGGGACCACCGGGAGGGUCCCGGGGGUCCACCAAGUGGGGCCACCAGCCUCAGAAGGCUGCGUGGGCCAAGUGUGGGAGGGGACCAGCCCCAGGUGGGCUGGUGCGCCCCCCACCAAGGCCCAAGGCGCAUGGGAGAGUGGGAGGGGGCAAACCCUAGGUCCAGAUGGGCCUUAGGGCCCAUCUAGUGGGGCGCCCCCCCCCUCUCCUCCCCUUGGCCGCCCCCCUUGAUGGGAUCUAGGGCUGGCCUCCUCCUCUUGGGGGUGGAAACCCUAAAGGGGGCGCAGCCCCCUUCCCCCCUAUAUAUACUUGAGGUUUGGGCUGCCAUACAGACAGGAGAACGUCUCUCUUUCGGCGCAGCCAUACCCCUCUCCCUCCUCCUCCACUCCCGCGGUGCUUGGCGAAGCCCUGCGGGAUUGCCACGCUCCUCCACCACCACCAUGCCGUCGUGUUGCUGCUGGAUGGAGUCUUCCCCAACCUCUCCCUCUCUCCUUGCUGGAUCAAGGCGUGGGAGACGUCACCGGGCUGCACGUGUGUUGAACGCGGAGGCAUCGUUCUUUCGGUGCUUAUAUCGGAAUCAACCGCGAUCUGAAUCGCUACGAGUACGACUCCCUCAUCCGCGUUCUUGCAACGCUUCCGCAUCGCGAUCUACAAGGGUAUGUAGAUUCACUCCCCUUCCCCUCGUUGCUAGAUUACUCCAUAGAUUGAUCUUGGUGAUGCGUAGAAAAUUUUGAAUUUCUGCUACGUUCCCCAACAGGGCCACCUAUCCCGGAGGGCCCCAUGGGCUGAAGUGGGAAGGGAACCAGCCCCUAGUGGGCUGGGCGCCCCCCCAUGGGCCUCCUCCCAUGCGCCUAGGGUUGGGAACCCUAGGGUGGGGGGGCUUCCCACUUGCCUUGGGGGGCAAGGCACCCCCUUGGCCGCCGCCCCCCACCCUAGAUGGGAUCUGGCCGGCGCCCCCCCCUCCCAGGGGGCCUAUAUAAAGGGGGGGAGGGAGGGCAGCAAUAGAACAGCCUUGGGCGCCUCCCUCCUCCCCUGCAACACCUCUCCCUCUCGCAGAAGCUCGGCGAAGCCCUGCCGAGACCCGCUACAUCCACCACCACGCCGUCGUGCUGCUGGAUCUCCAUCAAUCUCUCCUUCCCCUUGCUGGAUCAAGAAGGAGGAGACGUCGCUGCACCGUACGUGUGUUGAACGCGGAGGUGUCGUCCGUUCGGCACUCGGUCAUCGGUGAUUUGGAUCACGGCGAGUACGACUCCGUCAUCCACGUUCAUUGGAACGCUUCCGCUCGCGAUCUACAAGGGUAUGUAGAUGCACUCCUUUCCCCUCGUUGCUAGUAUACUCCAUAGAUGCAUCUUGGUGAGCGUAGGAAAAUUUUAAAAUUAUGCUACGAAUCCCAACAGUGGCAUCAUGAGCCAGGCCUAUGCGUAGUUACUAUGCACGAGUAGAACACAAAGAAGUUGUGGGCGUUGAUGUUGCCAAUUCCUCUUGCCGCUACUAGUCGUUUCUUGUUUCGGCGGCAUUGUAGGAUGAAGCGGCCCGGACCGACCUUACACGUACGCUUACGUGAGACAGGUUCCACUGACUGACAUGCACUAGUUGCAUAAGGUGGCUAGCGGGUGUCUGUCUCUCCUACUUUAGUCGGAACGGAUUCGAUGAAAAGGGUCCUUAUGAAGGGUAAAUAGAAAUUGGCAAAUCACGUUGUGGUCAUACGUAGGUAAGAAAACGUUGUUGCUAGAAACCUACAAACCACGUAAAAACUUGCAACAACAAUUAGAGGACGUCUAACUUGUUUUUGCAGCAAGUGCUAUGUGAUGUGAUAUGGCCAGAAGAUGUGAUGAAUGAUAUAUGUGAUGUAUGAGAUUGAUCAUAUUCUUGUAAUAGGAAUCACGACUUGCAUGUCGAUGAGUAUGACAACCGGCAGGAGCCAUAGAAGUUGUCUUUAUUAUUUUGUAUGACCUGUGUGUCAUUGAAUAACGCCAUGUAAAUUACUUUACUUUGUUGCUAAACGCGUUAGCCAUAGAAGUAGAAGUAAUCGUUGGUGUGACGACUUCAUGAAGACACAAUGAUGGAGAUCAUGAUGAUGGAGAUCAUGGUGUCAUGCCGGUGACGAAGAUGAUCAUGGUGCCCCGUAGAUGGAGAUCAAAGGAGCAUGAUGAUAUUGGCCAUAUCAUGUCACUAUUUGAUUGCAUGUGAUGUUUAUCAUGUUUUUGCAUCUUAUUUGCUUGGAAUGACGGUAGUAAGUGAGAUGAUCCCUUAUAAUAAUUUCAAGAAAAUGUUCACCCUAACUGUGCACCGUUGCGAAGGUUCGUUGUUUCGAAGCACCACGUGAUGAUCGGGUGUGAUAGAUUCUAACGUUCGAAUACAACGGGUGUUGACGAGCCUAGCAUGUACAGACAUGGCCUCGGAACACACGCAAUACACUUAGGUUGACUUGACGAUCCUAGCAUGUACAUACAUGGCCUCGGAACACGGAGGACCGAAAGGUCGAGCAUGAGUCGUAUAGAAGAUACGAUCAACAUGGAGAUGUUCACCGAUCUUGACUAGUCCGUCUCACGUGAUGAUCGGACACGGCCUAGUUAACUCGGAUCAUGUUUCACUUAGAUGACUAGAGGGAUGUCUAUCUGAGUGGGAGUUCAUUAAAUAAUUUGAUUAGAUGAACUUAAUUAUCAUGAACUUAGUCUAAAAUGUUUACACUAUGUCUUGUAGAUCAAAUGGCCAACGUUGUCCUCAAUUUCAACGCGUUCCUAGAGAAAACCAAGCUGAAAGAUGAUGGCAGCAACUAUACGGACUGGGUCUGGAACCUGAGGCUCAUCCUCAUAGUAGCCAAGAAAGAUUAUGUCUUAGAAGCACCGCUAGGUGAUGCACCAUUCCCAGAGAACCAAGACGUUAUGAACGCUUGGCAGCAGCGUGCUGAUGAUUACUCCCUCGUUCAGUGCGGCAUGCUUUACAGCCUAGAACCGGGUCUCCAAAAUUAUUUUGAGAAACAUGGAGCAUAUGAGAUGUUCGAGGAGCUGAAAUUGGUUUUCCAAGCUCAUGCCCGGGUCGAGAGAUAUGAUGUCUCCGAUAAGUUCUUCAGCUGUAAAAUGGAGGAGAACAGUUCUGUUAGUGAGCACAUACUCAGAAUGUCUGGGUUGCACAACUGCUUGACUCAGCUGGGUGUUAAUCUCCCGGAUGACGCGGUCAUUGACAGAAUCCUUCAGUCGCUUCCACCAAGCUUCAAGAGCUUUGUGAUGAACUACAAUAUGCAGGGGAUGGAAAAGACCAUUCCUGAGGUAUAUUCGAUGCUGAAAUCAGCGGAGGUGGAAAUCAGAAAAGAGCUUCAAGUGUUGAUGGUGAAUAAAACCACUAAGUUCAAGAAGGGCAAGGGUAAGAAGAACUUCAAGAAGGACGGCAAGGGAGUUGCCGUGCCCGGUAAGCCAGUUACUGGGAAGAAGUCAAAGAAUGGACCCAAGCCCGAGACUGAGUGCUUUUAUUGCAAGGGAAGUGGUCACUGGAAGCGGAACUGCCCCAAAUACUUAGCGGACAAGAAGAAGGCCGGCAACACCAAAGGUAUAUGUGAUAUACAUGUAAUUGAUGUGUACCUUACCAGUACUCGUAGUAGCUCCUGGGUAUUUGAUACCGGUGCGGUUGCUCAUAUUUGUAACUCAAAACAGGAACUACGGAAUAAACGGAGACUGGCGAAGGACGAGGUGACGAUGCGCGUCGGGAAUGGUUCCAAGGCCGAUGUGAUCACCGUCGGCACGCUACCUCUGCAUCUCCCUACGGGAUUAGUUUUAAACCUCAAUAAUUGUUAUUUAGUGCCAGCUUUGAGCAUGAACAUUGUAUCUGGAUCUCGUUUAAUUCGAGAUGGCUACUCAUUUAAAUCCGAGAAUAAUGGUUGUUCUAUUUAUUUGAGAGAUAUGUUUUAUGGUCAUGCCCCGCUGGUCAAUGGUUUGUUUUUGAUGAAUCUCGAACGUGAUGUUACACAUGUUCAUAGUGUGAAUACCAAAAGAUGUAAAGUUGAUAACGAUAGUCCCACAUACCUGUGGCACUGCCGCCUUGGUCACAUUGGUGUCAAGCGCAUGAAGAAGCUCCAUGCAGAUGGACUUUUGGAGUCUCUUGAUUACGAAUCAUUUGACACGUGCGAACCAUGCCUCAUGGGUAAGAUGACCAAGACUCCGUUCUACGGAACAAUGGAGCGAGCAACCAACUUAUUGGAAAUCAUACAUACCGAUGUGUGCGGUCCAAUGAGUGUUGAGGCUCGCGGAGGAUAUCGUUAUGUUCUCACUCUCACUGAUGACUUAAGUAGAUAUGGGUAUGUCUACCUAAUGAAACACAAGUCUGAAACCUUUGAAAAGUUCAAGGAAUUUCAGAGUGAGGUUGAGAAUCAACGUGACAGGAGAAUAAAAUUCUUACGAUCAGAUCGUGGUUGAGAAUAUUUAAGUCACGAGUUUGGUGCACACUUAAGGAAAUGUGGAAUAGUUUCACAACUCACGCCGCCUGGAACACCUCAGAGAAAUGGUGUGUCCGAAUGUCGUAAUCGCACUCUAUUGGAUAUGGUGCGAUCUAUGAUGUCUCUUACCGAUUUACCGCUCUCAUUUUGGGGUUAUGCUUUAGAGACUGCCGCAUUCACUUUAAAUAGGGCUCCGUCGAAAUCCGUUGAGACGACACCGUAUGAAUUAUGGUUUGGGAAGAAACCUAAGAUGUCGUUUCUAAAAGUUUGGGGAUGCGAUGCUUAUGUCAAGAAACUUCAACCUGAAAAGCUCGAACCCAAAUCGGAAAAAUGCGUCUUCAUAGGAUACCCUAAGGAAACCAUUGGGUAUACCUUCUACCUCAGAUCCGAAGGCAAGAUCUUCGUUGCCAAGAACGGGUCCUUUCUGGAGAAGGAGUUUCUCUCGAAAGAAUUGAGUGGGAGGAAAGUGGAACUUGAUGAGGUGAUAGUCACCCCUUCCGAACCGGAAAGUAGCGCAGCGCGGGAAAAUGUUCCUGUGGUGCCUACACCGACUGGGGAGGAAGUUAAUGAUGAUGAUCAUGAAGCUUCAGAUCAAGUUACUGAACUUCGUAGGUCCACAAGGACACGUUCCGCACCAGAGUGGUACGGCAACCCUGUCCUGGAAAUCAUGUUGUUAGACAACGGUGAACCUUCGAACUAUGAAGAAGCGAUGGCGGGCCCGGAUUCCGACAAAUGGCUAGAAGCCAUGAAAUCCGAGAUAGAAUCCAUGUAUGAAAACAAAGUAUGGACUUUGACUGACUUGCCCGAUGAGCGGCGAGCCAUAGAAAACAAAUGGAUCUUUAAGAAGAAGACGGACGCGGAUGGUAUGUGACCAUCUACAAAGCUCGACUUGUCGCUAAGGGUUAUCGACAAGUUCAAGGGGUUGACUACGAUGAGACUUUCUCACCCGUAGCGAAGCUGAAGUCCGUCCGAAUCAUGUUAGCAAUUGCCGCAUACUAUGAUUAUGAGAUAUGGCAGAUGGACGUCAAAACGGCAUUCCUUAAUGGCUUCCUUAAGGAAGAGUUGUAUAUGAUGCAGCCGGAAGGUUUUGUCGAUCCUAAGAAUGCUAACAAAGUGUGCAAGCUCCAACGCUCAAUCUAUGGGCUGGUGCAAGCAUCUCGGAGUUGGAACAUUCGCUUUGAUGAGAUGAUCAAAGCGUUUGGGUUUACACAGACUUAUGGAGAAGCCUGUGUUUACAAGAAAGUGAGUGGGAGAUCUGUAGCAUUUCUCAUAUUAUAUGUGGAUGACAUACUAUUGAUGGGAAAUGAUAUAGAAUUCUUGGAAAGUAUAAAGGCCUAUUUGAAUAAGUGUUUUUCAAUGAAGGACCUUGGAGAAGCUGCUUAUAUAUUAGGCAUCAAGAUCUAUAGAGAUAGAUCAAGACGCCUCAUUGGUCUUUCACAGAGUACAUACCUUGAUAAGAUAUUGAAGAAGUUCAAUAUGGAUCAGUCCAAGAAGGGGUUCUUGCCUGUAUUGCAAGGUGUGCAAUUGAGCACGGCUCAAUUCCCGACCACGGCAGAAGAUAUAGGAAAGAUGAGUGUCAUCCCCUAUUGCUCGGCCAUAGGGUCUAUUAUGUAUGCCAUGCUGUGUACCAGACCUGAUGUAAACCUUGCCGUAAGUUUGGUAGGAAGGUACCAAAGUAAUCCCGGCAUGGAACACUGGACAGCGGUCAAGAAUAUCCUGAAGUACCUGAAGAGGACUAAGGAUAUGUUUCUCGUUUAUGGAGGUGACGAAGAGCUCGUCGUAAAGGGUUACGUCGACGCUAGCUUCGACACAGAUCUGGAUGACUCGAAGUCACAAACCGGAUACGUGUAUAUUUUGAAUGGAGGAGCAGUAAGCUGGUGCAGUUGCAAGCAAAGCGUCGUGGCGGGAUCUACAUGUGAAGCGGAGUACAUGGCAGCCUCGGAGGCAGCACAGGAAGCAGUCUGGAUGAAGGAGUUCAUUACCGACCUAGGGGUGAUUCCCAAUGCGUCGGGCCCGAUGACUCUCUUCUGUGACAACACUGGAGCCAUUGCCCUUGCGAAGGAGCCCAGGUUUCACAGGAAGACCAGGCAUAUCAAGCGUCGCUUCAACUCCAUUCGUGAAAGUGUUCCAAAUGGAGACAUAGAUAUUUGUAAAGUACAUACGGACCUGAAUGUAGCAGAUCCGUUGACUAAACCUCUCCCUAGAGCAAAACAUGAUCAACACCAGGACGCAAUGGGUGUUCGAUUCAUCACAAUGUAACUAGAUUAUUGACUCUAGUGCAAGUGGGAGACUGUUGGAAAUAUGCCCUAGAGGCAAUAAUAAAUGGUUAUUAUUAUAUCUCUUUGUUCAUGGUAAUUGUCUAUUGUUCAUGCUAUAUUGUAUUGUCCGAAAUCGUAAUACAUGUGUGAAUACAUAGACCACAACGUGUCCCUAGUAAGCCUCUAGUUUACUAGCUCGUUGAUCAACAGAUAGUCAUGGUUUCCUGACUAUGGACAUUGGAUGUCAUUGAUAACGGGAUCACAUCAUUAGGAGAAUGAUGUGAUGGACAAGACCCAAUCCUAAGCACAGCAUAAAAGAUCGUGUAGUUUCGUUUGCUAGAGCUUUUCCAAUGUCAAGUAUCUUUUCCUUAGACCAUGAGAUCGUGCAACUCCUGGAUACCGUAGGAGUACUUUGGGUGUGCCAAACGUCACAACGUAACUGGGUGAGUAUAAAGGUGCACUACGGGUAUCUCCGAAAGUGUCUGUUGGGUUGGCACGGAUCGAGACUGGGAUUUGUCACUCCGUGUGACGGAGAGGUAUCUUUGGGCCCACUCGGUAAUGCAUCAUCAUAAUGAGCUCAAUGUGACUAAGGCGUUAGUCACGGGAUCAUGCAUUGCGGUACGAGUAAAGAGACUUGCCGGUAACGAGAUUGAACAAGGUAUUGGGAUACCGACGAUCGAAUCUCGGGCAAGUAACAUACCGAUUGACAAAGGGAAUUGCAUACGGGAUUGAUUGAAUCCUCGACACCGUGGUUCAUCCGAUGAGAUCAUCGUGGAACAUGUGGGAGCCAACAUGGGUAUCCAGAUCCCGCUGUUGGUUAUUGACCGGAGAGGUGUCUCGGUCAUGUCUGCAUGUAUCCCGAACCCGUAGGGUCUACACACCUAAGGUUCGGUGACGCUAGGGUUGUAGAGAUAUGUGUAUGCGGAAACCCGAAAGUUGUUCGGAGUCCCGGAUGAGAUCCGGACGUCACGAGAGGUUCCGGAAUGGUCCGGAGGUGAAGAAUUAUAUAUAGGAAGUCAAGUUUCGGCCACCGGGAAAGUUUCGGGGGUUACCGGUAUUGUACCGGGACCACCGGAAGGGUCCCGGGGGUCCACCGGGUGGGGCCACCUAUCCCGGAGGGCCCCAUGGGCUGAAGUGGGAAGGGAACCAGCCCCUAGUGGGCUGGGCGCCCCCCCAUGCGCCUAGGGUUGGGAACCCUAGGGUGGGGGGGCUUCCCACUUGCCUUGGGGGGCAAGGCACCCCCUUGGCCGCCGCCCCCCACCCUAGAUGGGAUCUGGCCGGCGCCCCCCCCUCCCAGGGGGCCUAUAUAAAGGGGGGAGGGAGGGUAGCAAUAGAACAGCCUUGGGCGCCUCCCUCCUCCCCUGCAACACCUCUCCCUCUCGCAGAAGCUCGGCGAAGCCCUGCCGAGACCCGCUACAUCCACCACCACGCCGUCGUGCUGCUGGAUCUCCAUCAAUCUCUCCUUCCCCUUGCUGGAUCAAGAAGGAGGAGACGUCGCUGCACCGUACGUGUGUUGAACGUGGAGGUGCCAUCCGUUCGGCACUCGGUCAUCGGUGAUUUGGAUCACGGCGAGUACGACUCCGUCAUCCACGUUCAUUGGAACGCUUCCGCUCGCGAUCUACAAGGGUAUGUAGAUGCACUCCUUUCCCCUCGUUGCUAGUAUACUCCAUAGAUGCAUCUUGGUGAGCGUAAGAAAAUUUUAAAAUUAUGCUACGAAUCCCAACAAGGAUAACUCAGACUCAGGAUGCCUGAGAAGAAAGGUGCAACACAAAUCGACGAAAUGACAUUGCAAGAUUCUCGGGAAAUGAACUAUGGGAGCGUGUUCCUGAAGCAAUAGUUCAUCAUUAAACCAAGGAGAGGAUGAGGAGGUGGCUGAUGAACUUAGCGACAAUUCAUCGAGAUUUCCAAAAAGAUGUAUUUCCACAAUUAUGUGAACAAAGAGAUAACAUUUGUCAAAUCAAAUGAUAUAAUUAUGUAUGCUCGAGUAAAUUAUACACCAUUAAACAUUGGUUGAAAGGUGCACCCGAAAUAUGGGCUAGGUAGCACGAUCAAUGUUCGAAUGAGGAUUCAUUAAGCCAUAGACGUAGAAUGAAACUGUAGACCAAUAACUUCAAAGCAAUUGGGUUGCUAGAAGUUUAGAAUUUACACAUCACAGACCAUUUGUCGGUAUUUCAUUGAGAAACAACACGGGGACCAAGAAAGAAUGGUGAUGGUGAGAAGUAUCAUUGUACCAAGAAUUCUUAAGAGGUGGAGUAAUGCUCACGACAUUCUUGACAUCAAAGAUGGUAAUACACCACAGUAGAACAUAACAUAGGUUGGAUAGUAGGGAAAUCAAGAUACAACACAAAAUAUGAACAAGUUUGUGUUGGGGGGAGGCAAGAAUGUUGUCGAUGAUAACACAAUUCAUCGAGGGGCAAGGAUGGUAUUUCUCAUCCUGAAUUUUGACACACAACUUGGAAGAAGUCAAAUUGUUGACAAUGACCACGACAAAUUUGUCGAGAGGUUUUCAAGAAGAUGUAAUUGAUCGACGAUGACAUCAAGUCAAAGGAAUGAUGAAAGCGAAAGGUUAUUGGAACCACGGGUAGGACACAAACUCGAAAUCAAGUUUGCUGUUCAAGGAGAAGUGAUAUGACGAGGAAGAUCGACGCAAGAUUAGCUCACUGUCGAAAUUUGUGCGCUGGGAAGGUCCAGGUAGCACAGUUAAAAUCGGCACGAUAAUGACAUAGCCAAGCAGGCUAGGAAUGACUUGAAGGAUUAUUAAACUCGUAAGCAACAAAAAUUACUUAGAGUUAUUGAAUCGGAGUGCGGAAUUGAUUCACUUUUCGGUGUCCUUGAGGGGUUCUAACAACUCAGAACUCGUUGGAAAAAUGGAAUCGGCAAGAAUAUUAGUUGAUGAAGAACUCAUAAGAAGUUAAGUAGUUCCUUGGCAUUCUCGAGAUACCAGGGGGUAAUACUCGACGACAGACCAAAGUACAGGUUGGACGGGGUAUUGCUCUGCAGAGGACAAGUGCUUAAACUUGCACGAGAAAUGGUAUUUAAAGGAGAACAUGGUCGGAACCACGAUUGCAAAAGGAUCAAUACACAGAUACUAGACGAUAUCAUAUCAAGGAAAUAGUUAUUAUUACAAGAAGCUUCUAUGAUAGGAUCUACAUCGUGUCCAUGGGCAUGAACACAAAGUUCAAGGUCGACUCCCACUUCUCCAAUGCAUACCCUUUCAUUCACUUCUCAUUUUUCGAAGAAGUUGUAAUGUUUAAAUUUUAUCUAGCAAAACUCUAGAAGAGUAUGACUCGUGAUAGCUCUCGGGUUUACCCGGAUCUGGAAAGGCAUAGGUUCAACCCUUAGGGUCAUAUUGGGAACAUAUACCACAAGCUUCAAUAGUAAAUAACACAAGCUCGAUAGUAGAGCAUGGGUGACAAAAGGAGAGGAUACAAUUUACCGAAGGCAUUAUGUAUGAGGGAAGAACUUCUCAAGGUGAUUGAAUAUGAAGGGCACUGUCGGAUAAAAAUCCAACAAUGGAUCGGGCGAUCCACAACAGAGCUGAUGUGAGUAUCGGUACUCAAUCAGAGGAAGAAAGAAUGCAAAGGCAUCAGAUUAUGGGAAUAACUAACUAAUUCAAAUCUCAAAUGCAAAGGAAUUGCCAAAUCAAGAGAUCAGAAGCAAACACUCUGAUUGAGGAUGGAUAAGUUGAGUAAACUUAUGGGUACAACGGACGGCUAUUCGGUUGGUCGAGAACCAGUUCAUGUUUAAAAUGACGUCUGAUCCGGAAGGAUGAAUUCUAGGAUCUGAUUGAGGAUUGCGAGCAUUCGCAACAAAUUGAAUCAACGGACUCAAAAUGAUAAUGACAAGAGAUGUCAAUAAGAUUGUAGACUUAUGGGAUUAACCAUACUGCAAGCAAGUAAGAAUUUCAAGAGCAAUAGGCUACUCAGGAUUUUCGGAAGUUCAAAUAGUAUUUUUAAGACUUUUGUCAAAUACAUGAAUCAACUGGGGAUGAGCAAAUAUCCGGUGAGUGCUAGAAAUUAGUCACCACAUGCAAGGCAGUAGGCAAAAAGGAUUCUCGAAACAACGACGAGUAUUUCGGGGUAUCUUGUAAUAACAAGACCAACUAGGGAUGAAUGUAAGAAUUACAACUGCAUGUAGUUAUCCAUAAGGGUUGACGGUGGAAGGGGAAUUGCAAACGUGAUGAACACAAGUUCUCGGGUUAACAGCGGGGAGUGUCUUCAGGGUCUUCACGUGCAGCAGACAAUCAUCACUAAUAAGGGGCUCUCCGGGUGAAAGUGAUAACGAGAUCCUAAUGUUAGAUUUAGCAAAAUUCACUUAACCCGAAUAGAAGAGAGAUCAGAGUCCCAGAGUAUAGAUCGAGAAGUAAAAGAUCCUAAUACCACCCAAAUGGCGACGUGGGCCCAUAAGCCACACAGCCAUGUUAGUAAAAGUUUUUCAAUGACUAGACUCGACUUUGGCCAAGGAGUGUGGAAGGGGGAUUCCUACAGGCAGUCGGCUCUGAUACCACCUUGUGACGCCCCCGAUUAAAUCGUACACUAAUCAUGCACGCAAAUGUGUACGAUCAAGAUCAGGGACUCACGGGAAGAUAUCACAACACAACUCUACAACAUAAAUAAGUCAUACAAGCAUCAUAAUACAAGCCAGGGGCCUCGAGGGCUUGAAAACAAGUGCUCGAUCAUAGACGAGUCAGCGGAAGCUACAAUAUCUGAGUAUAGACAUAAGUUAAACAAGUUUGCCUUAAGAAGGCUAACACAAAAGUAGCAACGAUCGAAAAGGCAAGGCCUCCUGCCUGGGACCUCCUAACUACUCCUCGAAGCCGAACUCCAUGUAGAAUCAUCCUCGGGAUCUCUAGCUCCUGGACUCUAGCAUCUGGUUGCGACAACCAGGUAUAGAAAGGGGAAAAGAGGGAGAAAAGCAACCGUGAGUACUCAUCCAAAGUACUCGCAAGCAAGGAGCUACACUACAAAUGCAUGGGUAUAUGUGUAAAGGGCCAUAUCGGUGGACUGAACUGCAGAAUGCCAGAAUAAGAGGGGGAUAGCUAAUCCUGUCGAAGACUACGCUUCAGGCCACCUCCAUCUUGCAGCAUGUAGAAGAGAGUAGAUGGUAAGUUCACCAAGUAGCAUCGCAUAGCAUAAUCCUACCCGGCGAUCCCCUCCUCGUCGCCCUGUUAGAGAGCGAUCACCGGGUUGUAUCUGGCACUUGGAAGGGUGUGUUUUAUUAAAUAUCCGGUUCUAGUUGUCAUAAGGUCAAGGUACAACUCCGGGUCGUCCUUUUACCGAGGGACGCGGCUAUUCGAAUAGAUAAACUUCCCUGCAGGGUGCACCACAUAACCCAACACGCUCGAUCCCAUUUGGCCGGACACACUUUUCUGGGUCAUGCCCGGCCGCGGAAGAUCAACACGUCGCAGCCCCACCAAGGCACAACAGAGAGGUCAGCACGCCGAUCUAAAUCCUCUGGCACAGGGGUCUGGGCCCAUCGCCCAUUGCACACCUGCACGUUGCGAGGGCGGCCGGAAGCAGACCUAGCCUAGCAGGCAUUCUAGUCCAAUCCGGCGCGCGCCGCUCCGUCGCUGACGUCACGAAGGCUUCGGCUGAUACCACGACGUCGAGUGCCCAUAACGGUUCCCGCGUAGUUGGUUAGUGCGUAUAGGCCAGUGCCAGACUCAGAUCAAAUACCAAGAUCUCGUUAAGCGUGUUAUUUUUAAGUAUCCGCGGACGCCGACCAGGGCCAGGCCCACCUCUCUCCUAGGUGGUCUCAACCUGCCAUGUCGCUCCGCCACAAAGUAACAGUCGGGGGCCGUCAGGAACCCAGGCCCACCUCUACCGGGAUGGAGCCACCUGUCCUUUCAGCCCCCUCAUCAGAAUCACUUGCGGGUACUCAACGAGCUGAUCCGACUUUAGUCACCACAUGUGUCAUGUAUAUAAAGUAUAAAGUAUAUACCCGUGAUCACCUCCCUAGUGAUCACGGCCCGAUAGUAUAGCAUGGCAGACAGACAAGAGUGUAGGGCCACUGAUGGAACACUAGCAUCCUAUACUAAGCAGUAGGAUAGCAGGUAAGGGUAACAACUGUAGCAACAAUGACAGGCUAUGCAGCAGAAUAGGAUUAACCGAAAGCAGUAACAUGCUACACUCUUCUAAUGCAAGCAAUAUAGAGAAGAAUAGGCGAUAUCUGGUGAUCAAGGGCGGGGCUUGCCUGGUUGCUCUGGCAAGAAGGGUUCGUCGUCGAUGUAGUCGAUCACAGGGGUACCAGCAGCGGUCUCGGGGUCUACCGGAAAGAAGUAACGGAGGGGGGACACAAUAAAUAACAGAGCAAUGAAAGCAUCACAAAGCAUAACAUGGCAAUACGCGGUGCUAGAGGUGAUCUAACGCGGCAGGAGGUGAUACCGGCAAAGAGGGGAAACAUCCGGGAAAGUAUUCCCGGUGUUUCGCGUUUUCGGACAGAUGAACCGGAGGGGGAAAGUUGUGUGUUCGAUAUGCUAGGGGUGUGUGGCGGACGAACGGGCUGCGUAUCUGGAUUCGUCUCGUCGUUCUGAGCAACUGUCAUGUACAAAGUAUUUUCAUCCGAGGUACGGUUUAUUUUAUAUUAAUUUUCAAAGUUUAAAAUCAUUUUUAGAAUUAACAGAAUUAAUUUAAUUCGAAACUGGAUUUAUGACAUCAGCAUGAUGUCAUGCUGACGUCAGCAGUCAACAGGGGUUGACUGGUCAACCUGACCAGUGGGUCCCACUGGUCAGUGACACAUUUUAAUUAAACAUAUUAAUUAACCUAAUCAGGAUUAAUUAGGGGUGGGCCCCACUGUCAUUGACUACUUAAUUAGCUAAUUAGGUUAAUUAGGUAACUAAUGUUUAAUUAGUUUAAUUGGUUGUUUAGUUUAAUUAAUUAAGUUAAUUAAUUAAUUAAUUUUAUUAUUAUUAUUUAUUUAUUUUUAUUUCUUUUUUUUAUAAACGUUCUCAGGGUUCCGGGCCCCGGCUGUCAGUGGCCAAUGGGCCACUGGAACGGGCGCGCUGGUUAACGGGCAUAGCCCGAACGGGCACAUGCCCGAGGGGCGCUGGGCACGCACGGCGCUCACCGGCGGCCAGGACCAGGGGAGACGACGGAGGGGUGGUCGCGAACCGGCUGGGCGGAGCGGGCGCAGGGGGGCGCGGCUGGAGGUGGUGGUGGCAGGGGGAGGCGCUCGGCGACGAGGCCAGGGGCGGAGCGGCGCGUGCGGGACGAAGGCGAUGGCCGGAGCGAGCAACUGCAGGGGAGNNNNNNNNNNNNNNNNNNNNNNNNNNNNNNNNNNNNNNNNNNNNNNNNNNNNNNNNNNNNNNNNNNNNNNNNNNNNNNNNNNNNNNNNNNNNNNNNNNNNNNNNNNNNNNNNNNNNNNNNNNNNNNNNNNNNNNNNNNNNNNNNNNNNNNNNNNNNNNNNNNNNNNNNNNNNNNNNNNNNNNNNNNNNNNNNNNNNNNNNNNNNNNNNNNNNNNNNNNNNNNNNNNNNNNNNNNNNNNNNNNNNNNNNNNNNNNNNNNNNNNNNNNNNNNNNNNNNNNNNNNNNNNNNNNNNNNNNNNNNNNNNNNNNNNNNNNNNNNNNNNNNNNNNNNNNNNNNNNNNNNNNNNNNNNNNNNNNNNNNNNNNNNNNNNNNNNNNNNNNNNNNNNNNNNNNNNNNNNNNNNNNNNNNNNNNNNNNNNNNNNNNNNNNNNNNNNNNNNNNNNNNNNNNNNNNNNNNNNNNNNNNNNNNNNNNNNNNNNNNNNNNNNNNNNNNNNNNNNNNNNNNNNNNNNNNNNNNNNNNNNNNNNNNNNNNNNNNNNNNNNNNNNNNNNNNNNNNNNNNNNNNNNNNNNNNNNNNNNNNNNNNNNNNNNNNNNNNNNNNNNNNNNNNNNNNNNNNNNNNNNNNNNNNNNNNNNNNNNNNNNNNNNNNNNNNNNNNNNNNNNGUGGCUCCGGCGGGGGUUCCGGGCGGCGGCGGCGUCGAGCACCCCCGAUCCCGAUCGGGGAGGAGCGAGAGAGAGAGGGGAUCGGGGAGAGUGGGUGGGGGUUCGGGUUAGGUUAGGGUUUGGCUGGGGGGUGAGGGGAUAAGGUGUGGCCGGCUGGGCCUGGUGGGUUGGCCCAGUGGGGUUGAUGGCCUGCUAGGCCGGAGCCCGGGGGGGUUCUUUUCCUUCUUCUUUUUUUUGUUAGUUUCUUUUCUGUUUUUGUCUUUGUUUCCUAUUGUUUUAAUUUUUUUGUAAAAUAUAUACUUGGCAUCUAAUUUAGUAAUUCAAUUUAGGCCAUUGUCACAAAAGUCUAGUCCUCAAAAUAAUUUAGUCUGACAUUUUAUUAAUUACAAAAGGUAUUUAAAUAAUUAUUUAUGCUGCUGUUUUAUUCAUCUGAUAGUAUUUAAACAUUUUAUAAAGGUGUGGUUUCUCCAUCAUAAUUACCUAUGCAAUAUUUGGUUCACUCCGGACAUUUUAGUUUUAAUAUUCGAAAACUUUUAUUGUUUGACUUGAUUUCGAAUUUUGAAUUCGAACGGGAUUUGAACCAGAGUGAGUUUAGUAACAAUAACAGUGGUGACGUGGCAUCAUUAGUAGAGGGUUACGGUAGCUUAAUUAUCCGGGCGUCACAGCUCAGCAAUGGGGGAGUGCCCAUUCCCCCGUUGCCCGACGCCGUGGCCAAACCAUCCUUCUUCGCCGACGAGGUCGAGAUCGUGCGCGCCUCCCUCACCGACGCCGAGCUCUCCCUCCCCCAGUACGCCGCCGACAACCACGCGGCUUGGGCGGCGUACUUCGAGCGCCGCCAGCAGCAGCGGCUGGCGUCCACCAACGGGGCGCCGGUGGUCGGCGGCGUGAAGAAUAGCGAGGGGCGCCACCUGUAGUGGGGCGCCCCCGGUCGCACACUUGAGGACGUGCUGACGCACCUCGAGGGCGGCAACAACCCGCCGUUGGCGUACCCCCCGGCGAGGGCGGACGCCCCGGCGCACCGCCGACGCGACGGGCAAUGGGCGCCAAGGAGGUUCGGCGCGUCCUCCUCCUCUUCCUCCUCCCGCUCCUCCUCCCACUCCUCCGGCACUCCGACGCUGCUCGGCGUCAAGGCCGAGCCCGGCAUCGUCAUCAACGAGGGCGGCCAGCGCGCCUCCUCGUCGGCUCCUCCUCCGCGCUUCGUCAAGCCAAAGACGGAGCCGGGGCUGGCGCCGGUGAAGACGGAGCACGGCGAGGUCGAGCUCGACGACGACGCGGCCCUUGAAUGGGCACGCCAGGACUCCAUCAAGAUGGCGACGGAGCGCCAGCGACGACGACGACGACGCGCCGCCGCCGCCACCAUCCGGGGAGGGGUCCAGCAGGGGCGCCCGAGUCAAGGAGGAGAAGGCCGACGAUGGCGGCGACGACGGCGACUUCUCGGCCUUCAGCAAGUUUUUUUAUUAGUUUUUAUAUGUAAUGGCGACUACUCGACUUAAAUCCGCGAAUAUAAGCCCAAGUUUGCCGAAAUUUGACGUGUUUUAGCCGAACUUUACGUAAAUUUGCUACACAAUUUAUUUUUUUCCCUGCGCCUGGGGCCGGCGGCUGGGGGCCAACUCGCCCCAGGCCCAUUUUUUUCGCCGGGUCAUCCCCAGGCGGCGAUUUUAGGCGCCCCUGGGGCCAACGGCUGAAGAUGCUCUCACAGGCCGAGUGCUAGACGCCACAGGCGGAGCCAUCGAGCGGCGAGGUGACGGGCAAAAGGAGGCUCAUCACGGUAGGAAAAUGGCCAGCCCAACAACCAUUAACAACCAAGAUCGGUCGAUUAGACAAGGUGAAAGUGAGUGAGGGAGGGAGGGGAGCUGGCAUAGGCAAGCAAAGCAAAGCGUUGGCAGCGAAAGCCUAGCUACCGCGUGCAAAUCACUGGGUGUUUUAAAUAAGCAAGCAAGCAAGCAUUACAACAGCUGGUGCUUAGGUACAGUACAGGCAUCAUCCAUGUGUUACUUUCCAAGAAUCAAACGCUUACAGUAGUGACUGACAUGUGCUAUAGAACAGAAUCAAAGCCCGUGAGAAAAAAGAAAAAAGGGGCCAAAAAGGAGAAGAAGAUGAAAGAAAAAAUGAAGACAUGCACAAGUUGCUGAUGAGCAAAGACAAGAUCCAUGCAAAGAACUAAGCAAUUUCCUUUCUUCCAACUGAUGAAGGGAUCAAUGCCGGUCGGUUAU
rnacentral:lncRNA from 1 species